rnacentral:lncRNA from 1 species
CUCUUUGGCCUAUAUAUUCCCUAAAAUCCUAGAAAAAAUCAGGGCGUCCACGAAACCACUUUUCCGCUGCCGCAAGCUUCCGUUUCCGCGAGAUCUCAUCUAGAGACCCUUCCCGGUGCCCUGCCGGAGGGGACUUUGGAGCUGGAGGGCUUCUACAUCAACAUCAUUGCCUCUCCAAUGACUCGUGAGUAGUCCACUUCAGACCUACGGGUCCGUAGUUAGUAGCUAGAUGGCUUCUUAUCUCUCUUGGAUCUUCAAUACAAAGUUCUCCAUGAUCUUCAUGGAUAUCUAUUCGAUGUAAUCCUCUUUGGCGAUGUGUUUCUCGAGAUCCGAUGAAUUGUGGAUUUGUGAUCAGAUUAUCAAUGAUUUAUAUUUGAGUCUUUGCUGAUUUCCUAUAUGCAUGAUUUGAUAUCCUUGUAAGUCUCUCCGAGUCUUGGGUUUUGUUUGGCCAACUAGAUCUAUGAUUCUUGCAAUGGGAGAAGUGCUUGGUUUUGGGUUCAUGCGGUGACCUUUCCCAGUGACAGAAGGGGCAGCAAGGCACGCAUCGUGUUGUUGCCAUCAAGGGUAACAAGAUGGGCUUUCAUCAUAGAUUUGAGAUUUUCCAUCUACAUCAUGUCAUCUUGCUUAAGGCGUUACUCUGUUCUUAUGNNNNNNNNNNNNNNNNNNNNNNNNNNNNNNNNNNNNNNNNNNNNNNNNNNNNNNNNNNNNNNNNNNNNNNNNNNNNNNNNNNNNNNNNNNNNNNNNNNNNCCGUCGCCGCCACUCCUCCUGUUUCCUCGGGAUCUCGUUCCCCUGCCCAACCAGCAAGAAGCAUGCCCUGAGCCACCUUCUACUCUGCAUGUUGGACGCGUCCAAGAGCCGGCAGAUGCCAGCGCCCGUCACCGGUAGCUCCAUGCAUCCGCGCCGGUGCCCUUGCUCCUCUCUCCUCCUCUCUUCCUUGGUUCUUCUCUCUUCCUCACCCCACUCUCUUUUCCUUUUCUUCAGGAGCAUCGCUCCAUGGCCGCGCUUGAAGGAAGCCAGCACCAGCCUCUUUCUCGCGUCGCCAGCAGUUGAUCCCGUCGGAUUGGAGCUGAUCGUGCCACCGCCUCGGCUCCCCUGCGCCGGCCCACGUGCACAUGGCCACUGCAGCGCGCCUGGUGCGCCUCGACGUGUCCAGCGCCAGCAAGCAAGCAGCACCGCGCCGGAGCCACCGCUCGCUGGAGCUCUGCCGUUCCCAUCCAGGAUCUCCUCGGCGAGAACCAGCGCCAACGCUAGUUACCUCGAGUGCGCUAACCCCUCCGCUUUCUCCUUCCCUCUCCUUCCUCAUCUAAUUCUUCUCUUCUCUUCUCNNNNNNNNNNNNNNNNNNNNNNNNNNNNNNNNNNNNNNNNNNNNNNNNNNNNNNNNNNNNNNNNNNNNNNNNNNNNNNNNNNNNNNNNNNNNNNNNNNNNACGAGAUUGAAAUAGGUAUACGGAUACUGACGAUCGAAUCUCGGGCAAGUAACAUACCGAAGGACAAAGGGAAUGACAUACGGGAUUAUAUGAAUCCUUGGCACUGAGGUUCAAACGAUAAGAUCUUCGUAGAAUAUGUAGGAUCCAAUAUGGGCAUCCAGGUCCCGCUGUUGGAUAUUGACCGAGGAGUCUCUCGGGUCAUGUCUACAUAGUUCUCGAACCCGCAGGGUCUGCACACUUAAGGUUCGACGUUGUUUUAUGCGUAUUUGAGUUAUAUGGUUGGUUACCGAAUGUUGUUCGGAGUCCCGGAUGACACCACGGACGUCACGAGGGUUUCCGGAAUGGUCCGGAAAUGAAGAUUGAUAUAUAGGAUGACCUUAUUUGAUCACCGGAAGGUUUUCGGAGUUACCGGGAAUGUACCGGGAAUGACGAAUGGGUUCCGGGAGUUCACCGGGGGGGNNNNNNNNNNACCACCAGCUCUUAGUGGGCUGGUGGGACAGCCCAAAGGGGCUCUAUGCGCCAAGAAGAAAAAAUCAAGAGAAAAAGAAAAAAAGAGGAGGAGGUGGGAAGGAAGGGGGACUCCCUCCCACCAAACCAAGUCCAACUCGGUUUGGGGGGGGAGUCCUCCCCCCUUGGACUCGGCCGACCCCCUUGGGGCUCCUUGAGCCCCAAGGCAAGGUCCCCUCCCUCCCACCUAUAUAUACGGAGGUUUUAGGGCUGAUUUGAGACGACUUUUCCACGACAGCCCGACCACAUACCUCCACGGUUUUUCCUCUAGAUCGCGUUUCUGCGGAGCUCGGGCGGAGCCCUGCUGAGACAAGGUCAUCACCAACCUCCAGAGCGCCGUCACGCUGCCGGAGAACUCUUCUAACUCUCUGUCUCUCUUGCUGGAUCAAGAAGGCCGAGAUCAUCUUCGAGCUGUACGUGUGCUGAACGCGGAGGUGCCGUCCAUUCGGUACUAGAUCGUGGGACUGAUCGCGGGAUUGUUCGCGGGGCGGAUCGAGGGACGUGAGGACGUUCCACUACAUCAACCGCGUUCACUAACGCUUCUGCUGUACGAUCUACAAGGGUAAGUAGAUCACUCAUCCCCUCUCGUAGAUGGACAUCACCAUGAUAGGUCUUCGUGCGCGUAGGAAAUNNNNNNNNNNNNNNNNNNNNNNNNNNNNNNNNNNNNNNNNNNNNNNNNNNNNNNNNNNNNNNNNNNNNNNNNNNNNNNNNNNNNNNNNNNNNNNNNNNNNUAUAUAUAUAUAUAUAUAUAUUUGACAUAAAUAAAUUUCUUUCCGUACUCAUAACCAUAUUAAAAUAACCUCUUAUAUCCAGCUAUCAAGUUGCAUCCACGUGCAUACAAAGUUUCAUAUAUUACACCAGAUUCAUCCACGUGCAUACAAAGUUUCAUAUAUUCAUAUACUACAAUAAUUUCAAUACAACCCAUGUUACAAGAAAUCAUCUUCAAGCAUUCCAUCAAUAUUUGCCAAGCUUCCCGUGAAGUGAAGGUAAUCUGCAAAAUGACAAAUAAGAAAGUUAGAAGAAUAAUAGUAGAUGAAGUAGUGUAUGUAUAGGUUAUUUCGGAGAGAAAUUAGCUAUGUAUAGACCAUUUAGGAGCUAACUAAGCUAAUUAUGUCAUUUAGGUGGAACCCUAGCUAACUAUAGGUCGUUUCAGAGCUAACUUGGGUAAAAUAGGUCAUUCCGGAGCAAACUAUGCUUAUUAAGCCAUUUUUGAUCUAGCUAGGCUAAUUAUAGGCCAUUUAAUACCUAAGUUAGGGGGAAUAGGUCAUGUUGCAGCUACGUAAGCCUUAUUUUGUCAUUUCGACGAUAAUUAACUAAGUAUAGGUCAUUUUUUUAUUAAAUAGACCAUUUAGGAGCUAACUAAGCUAAUUAUGUCAUUUAGAUGGAUAAUUAGCCAAUUUAGGCUUUGUUGGAUAAGACUAAGCUACGUAGAAUAAGAGAAAGAGAAGAAGAAGUAAAAGAAGGAGGAGGAGGAGGAGAAGGAGACGGAAGAGGAGAAGAAGAAGAAAAGAAGAAGGAGAAGGAGAAGGAGGAAGAAGGAGGAAGAAGGAGAAGGAUGAGCUCCUUCUCCUUCUUCUCCUCCUUCUUCUUAUCCUCCUCCCUCUCCUUCUUCUUCUUCUCCUCUUCUUCUUCUUCCUUCCUUCCAUUUUUCCUCUUUCUUCUCCUCUCGUCUCCCUCUUCGGGCAAAAUUGGCUAAGAAUGCCUUUUUGGAGCUAAUUAUGUCAUUUCGAGGAUAAUUAGGUAAGUAUAGGUCAUUUUUUAUUAAAUAGACCGUUUAGGAGCUAACUAAGCUAAUUAUGUCGUUUAGAUGGAUAAUUAGCCAAUUUAGACUUUGUUGGAUGAGUCUAAUUAAGCUACGUAGAAUAAGAGAAAGAGAAUAAGAAGUAAAAGAAGGAGGAGGAGGAGGAGGAGGAGAAGGAGACGGAAGAGGAGAAGAAGAAGAAAAGAAGAAGGAGAAGGAGAAGGAGGAAGAAGGAGGAAGAAGGAGGAAGAAGGAGAAGGAGGAGCUCCUUCUCCUUCUUCUCCUCCUUCUUAUCCUCCUCCAUCUCCUUCUCCUUCUUCUCCUCUUCUUCUUCUUCCUUCCUUUCAUUUUNNNNNNNNNNNNNNNNNNNNNNNNNNNNNNNNNNNNNNNNNNNNNNNNNNNNNNNNNNNNNNNNNNNNNNNNNNNNNNNNNNNNNNNNNNNNNNNNNNNNUCCGAGAGAGACAAGGAUGUAUCCCGAUGUUCACUUCCUUGGAGGGAAUCUACGCCACCGUUAGAGGGGCGGAUGUUACCACAAAGGCACACCAACGCCACGAAGGCUCACCCUAUUCUCCCUUUGAGAUAACACCAUGAAGGCGUUUCUCAACCACUAGUGGUAAGCCUUGAGGUGGCUUCCAAACCUUCACAAAGUUUCCGGGGAUAUCACAAUGGUUUGAUUCCUCUCCGAAGACUCCUACCGCCUAGGAGUCUCCAACCUCCAAGAGUAACAAGAUCACAGGAAUUGCUCAAAACUUGCUCAAAUCACAAAUCACUUUGGUGGGAAGGAGGAGAGGGAGACGAUCUUUCUUUUGAUUGGAACAACACUCUAAAGGACUCACAAAUGCUCUUGGGAUCUAGGAUUUAGUGUAGACAAGAGUGAGUGAGAGGAAAGGUGUUCUUGGAUGUAUCUUGGCUGUGUUGAACACCCUUUCACGAGGUGGGAGAAGAGUAUAUAUAGUGUGGAGUGAAAUCUAGCCGUUGGAGGUGCAAUAAGUCACACAGGGUCCGAACGUCCGACACUUGUCGGAAGUCCGGGCGUCCGUGAGGGACCGGACGUCCGGAGGGAGUCGGACGUCCGAGACCUGUAGGCAUGACUGGAGCUCAACUGAAUUUAUCAGCGACCGGACGUCCGAGGCCUGAAGGUGAGCCUGAACCUAUUCGAAUACAUCAGCAGCCGGACGUCCGGAAGUGGCCCGGAAGUCCGUAUUAUACAACACAAUUUCUUCUGGUGGUGGCUUCCGGAUUCCCGAUGGGGGUCGGACAUCCGGAGCUNNNNNNNNNNNNNNNNNNNNNNNNNNNNNNNNNNNNNNNNNNNNNNNNNNNNNNNNNNNNNNNNNNNNNNNNNNNNNNNNNNNNNNNNNNNNNNNNNNNNNNNCUCGUGUCUGGCUGCGGAUUUCCGGAGCUUGGCCGGAUGUCCGGCCCUCGGACGUCCGGAGGGAGCCGGAUUUCCGAGUUAUAGUGUGUACAAACUACUGGUGUCUGGCUGCGGAUUUCCGAAUCCAGCCGGACGUCCAGCCCUCGGACGUCCGGAGGGAGCCGGAUGUCCGAGGAGAUUGGACAUAUGUUGAAUUGUAGAGAGUGGAUAUUAUGUGAUGUUUGAUAUGAUUGUAGAGAUGUGGUAUGAGCAAGUUUCUCGCAAAGCCUGUGAUCCCCUCUUAAUAGUGCGGGAUCCCUAUACUCAAUAUCAGUAAACUCAAAAGACUAUUGUACAACAUCUCUUCUUAAUCCCGAGUCUUCUCGAAAUAUAUCUCACCAAUCCUUUCAGGCAGCCUUUGGCACAGAAAUCUUAAUCUACUAAAGUACUUGCCGUCCUGAGAUACACUCAACAAAUAGGAUUAGUUUCCUAUGUAUGUGCUGUCAUUAACACCAAAAGACAAUUAGGGGCANNNNNNNNNNNNNNNNNNNNNNNNNNNNNNNNNNNNNNNNNNNNNNNNNNNNNNNNNNNNNNNNNNNNNNNNNNNNNNNNNNNNNNNNNNNNNNNNNNNNUGAAAGGGUGAUGUAGCACAGGGCGGUAAGUAUUUCCCUCAGUUUGAGAACCAAGGUAUCAAUCCAGUAGGAGGAUCGCGUCAAGUCACAAGUACCUGCACAAACACAAAGAGCUUGCACCCAACGCUGUGAAGGGGUUGUCAAUCCCUUAUAGAUUGUUUGCAAAGUGAGAAGUGAAAGCAAAAAGUAAACAAAGCAAAGUAAAAGUGAAAGCUGAGAUGANNNNNNNNNNAAUCGAGUAGGAGGAUCGCGUCAAGUCACAAGUACCUGCACAAACACAAAGAGCUUGCACCCAACACUAUGAAGGGGUUGUCAAUCCCUUAUAGAUUUUUUGCAAAGUGAGAACUGAAAGCAAAAAGUAAACAAAGCAAAGUAAAAGUGAAAGCUGAGAUGAUAGUUGUGAAUAGACCCCGGGGCCGUAGUGUUCACUAGUGGCUUCUCUCAUGAAAGCAAGUAGACGGAGGGUGAACAAAUUACUUUCGAGCAAUUGAUAGAACCGCGCAAAGUCAUGACGUUAUCUAUGGCAAUGAUCAUAUCUAUAGGCAUAACGUCCAAAACAAGUAGACCGAUACUUUCUGCAUCUACUACUAUUACUCCACACGUCGACCGCUAUCCAGCAUGCAUCUACUGUAUUGAUUUCAUAAGAACAGAGUAACGCCUUAAGCAAGAUGACAUGAUGUAGAUGGACAAUCUCAAAUCUAUGAUGAAAUCCCAUCUUGUUACCCUUGAUGGCAACAACAUGAUGCGUGCCUUGCUGCCCCUUCUGUCACUGGGAAAGGUCACCACACGGCAUGAACCCAAAACCAAGCACUUCUCCCAUUGCAAGAAUCAUAGAUCUAGUUGGCCAAACAAAACCCAAGACUCAGAGAGACUUACAAGGAUAUCAAAUCAUGCAUAUAAGAAAUCAACAAAGACUCAAAUAUAAAUCAUAGAUAAUAUGAUCACAAAUCCACAAUUCAUCGGAUCUCGACAAACACACCACCAAAGAGGAUUACAUCAGAUAGAUCUCCAUGAAGAUCAUGGAGAACUUUGUAUUGAAGAUCCAAGAGAGAGAAGAAGCCAUCUAGCUACUAACUACGGACCCGUAGGUCUAAAGUGGACUACUCACGAGUGAUUGGAGAGGCAAUGAUGUUGAUGUAGAAGCCCUCCAGCUCCAAAGUCCCCUCCGNNNNNNNNNNNNNNNNNNNNNNNNNNNNNNNNNNNNNNNNNNNNNNNNNNNNNNNNNNNNNNNNNNNNNNNNNNNNNNNNNNNNNNNNNNNNNNNNNNNNUAUGGAAUCAAACACCGGUAGCCGGAAACUAUGGCGGCAAUAACGGAACAAAACACCCGGCAAAAGGCUAGGCCUCCUGUUGUUACCAAGUAUAUAGGUGCAUUAAUUAAAUAACAUAUUUAAACAUAAUGAUAUCAAAACUCAUGUUAUCACAUGAGACAAUUGCACCUGCAACUAGCAACGCUAACAUUAGAAGCUGAGCAAGCCUACUUAGCCAUACAAUUUUAGCUAGGAGGGGAAAGUGUUUGGGUUUCAUGGAAAUAUCAGGAGGCAAUUAUUUCAGUGUUAGGCAGCGAGCAUAUGACGAAGGAAACGUGAAUCUAGGCAUAACAAAGCUAGAGACGGUAUCAAGGUCAUGGUCAUCUUGCCUGUGAUGUCUUUAGGUUGGAACUGCUCUUGUUCGUUCUACACGUACUCUCUCGAAUCCACGUAACCGCUCUCCGAUCCCGGUGCUACCCAACAUAAAAAUAGCAUCCAAUUAAUAACAAGACCACAUGAUGCAAUAAGCACAUGAUGCAUGAGAUGAGAAUGAAGCAUGCAUCUCUAAUCUAGUCACUUGCAUAUGCAUGAGAAGAAAAGACAAACUUAUGGCCAGAACUUCACUCUAAGCUAUCUUGACAUGCAUGAAGAUGACAUGAACAGGUGCAUCACGCGAAAACGAUGCAAAAACAUAUAAAGAACGUCGAGAGCAGAGCUACGGAUCAACCGGAAACUAUGAAACAAGAGCUGGAGUUCUACGGAUCAAAUCUACCACAAGCACUCUCCAAUGGCAUACUUCUGGUAUUCCCAGGUUUCCACAUCACCAAACCAACAAGUAUAGAUGGGUUGGUGCAAGUAAACUCACCACACCAUCAACUAUGCACUCACAAGCAUCAAAACAUCAAAACUAUACAUUCUGUCCUAAACAGCAAAAUAGCAGUUNNNNNNNNNNNNNNNNNNNNNNNNNNNNNNNNNNNNNNNNNNNNNNNNNNNNNNNNNNNNNNNNNNNNNNNNNNNNNNNNNNNNNNNNNNNNNNNNNNNNGAUGUAUGAGAUUAUCAUGUUGUAAUAGAAAUAUCGACUUGCACGUUGAUGGUACGACAACCGGCAGGAGCCAUAGGGUUGUCUUUAUACUAACGUGUGUGCUUGCAGAUGCGUUUACUAUUUUGCUAGGAUGUAGCUUUAGUAGUAAUAGCAUGAGUAGCACGACAACCCCGAUGGCAACACGUUGAUGGAGAUCAUGGUGUGGCGCCGGUGACAAGAAGAUCGUGCCGGUGCUUUGGUGAUGGAGAUCAAGAAGCACGUGAUGAUGGUCAUAUCAUGUCACUUAUGAAUUGCAUGUGAUGUUAAUCCUUUUAUGCACCUUAUUUCGCUUAGAACGACGGUAGCAUUAUGAGGUGAUCUCUCACUAAAAUUUCAAGACGAAAUUGUGUUCUCCCCGACUGUGCGCACCGUUGCUACAGUUCGUCGUUUCGAGACACCACGUGAUGAUCGGGUGUGAUAGACUCAAUGUUCACAUACAACGGGUGCAAAACAGUUGCGCACGCGGAACACUCGGGUUAAGCUUGACGAGCCUAGCAUGUGCAGACAUGGCCUCGGAACACAUGAGACCGAAAGGUCGAUCAUGAAUCAUAUAGAUGAUAUGAUUAGCAUAGGGAUGCUUACCACUAAAACUAUACUCAANNNNNNNNNNNNNNNNNNNNNNNNNNNNNNNNNNNNNNNNNNNNNNNNNNNNNNNNNNNNNNNNNNNNNNNNNNNNNNNNNNNNNNNNNNNNNNNNNNNNCACGUCCUCUCCCUCGACGUAGUCGCGGAUGAGGUUGAAGCGUCGUUUGAUGUGUCUGGUCUUCUUGUGAAACCGUGGUUCCUUUGCUAAGGCAAUGGCACCAGUGUUGUCACAGAACAAGGUUAUUGGAUUCAGUGCGCUUGGCACCACUCCAAGAUCCGUCAUGAACUGCUUCAUCCAGACACCCUCCUUAGCCGCCUCCGAGGCAGCCAUGUACUCCGCUUCACAUGUAGAAUCUGCUACGACGCUUUGUUUGGAACUACACCAGCUUACCGCACCCCCAUUAAGAAUAAAUACGUAUCCGGUUUGCGACUUAGAGUCGUCCGGAUCUGUGUCAAAGCUUGCAUCGACGUAACCUUUUACGGCGAGCUCUUCGUCACCUCCAUACACGAGAAACAUCUCCUUAGUCCUUUUCAGGUACUUCAGGAUAUUCUUGACCGCUGUCCAGUGUUCCACUCCUGGAUUACUCUGGAACCUACCUGCCAUACUUAUGGCCAGGCUAACAUCCGAUCUAGUGCACAGCAUCGCAUACAUGAUAGAACCUAUGGCUGAAGCAUAGGGGACGGAGCGCAUAUGCUCUCUAUCUUCAUCAGUUGCUGGGCACUGAGUCUUACUCAAUCUCGUACCUUGUAGAACUGGCAAGAACCCUUUCUUGGACUGUUCCAUUUUGAACCUCUUCAAAACUUUAUCAAGGUAUGUGCUUUGUGAAAGUCCUAUCAGUCGUUUUGAUCUAUCCCUAUAGAUCUUAAUGCCUAGAAUGUAAGCAGCUUCUCCUAGGUCCUUCAUCGAGAAACUUUUAUUCAAGUAACCUUUUAUGCUCUCCAAAAACUCUAAGUUGUUUCCAAUCAGUAAUAUGUCAUCCACAUAUAAUAUUAGAAACGCCACAGAGCUCCCACUCACUAUGUUAUUUCUACUAAAGCUACAACCUAGUAGAAUCUGCUACGACGCUUUGCUUGGAACUGCACCAGCUUACUGCACCCCCAUUAAGAAUAAAUACGUAUCCAGUUUGCGACUUAGAGUCGUCCGGAUCUGUGUCAAAGCUUGCAUCGACGNNNNNNNNNNAACCACUCACUUUCUUGUAAAUACAAGAUUCUCCAACCACUUGUAUAAACCCAAAUGCUUUGAUCACCUCAUCAAAGCGUUUGUUCCAACUCCGAGAUGCUUGCACCAGUCCAUAAAUGGAUCGUUGGAGCUUGCACACCUUGUUAGCAUUCUUAGGAUCGACAAAACCUUCGGGUUGUAUCAUAUACAAUUCUUCCUUAAGGAAACCGUUAAGGAACGCCGUUUUGACAUCCAUCUGCCAGAUUUCAUAAUCGAAAAAUGCAGCUAUUGCUAACAUGAUUCUGACGGACUUAAGCAUCGCCACGGGUGAGAAUGUCUCAUCGUAGUCAACUCCUUGAACUUGUGAAAAACCCUUUGCCACAAGUAGAGCUUUAUAAAUGGUCACAUUGCCGUCAGCGUCCGUCUUCCUCUUAAAGAUCCAUUUGUUCUGAAUAGCCUUGCGGCCCUCAGGUAGUACCUCCAAAGUCCACACUUUGUUCUCAUACAUGGAUCCUAUCUCGGACUUCAUGGCUUCCAGCCAUUUGUUGGAAUCUGGGCCCACCAUUGCUUCUUCAUAAUUCGCAGGUUCAUUGUUGUCUAACAACAUGAUUGAUAAGACGGGAUUACCGUACCACUCUGGAGCAGUACGUGGUCUCGUCGACCUGCGUGGUUCGACAGAAACUUGAACUGGAGUUUCAUGAUCAUCAUCAUUAACUUCCUCCUCAACCGGCGUCGCAAUGACACAGGUUUCACCUUGCCCUGCGCCACCAUCCAGAGGGAUGAGAGGUUCGACAACCUCGUCAAGUUCUAUCUUCCUCCCACUCAAUUCUCUCGAGAGAAACUCCUUCUCGAGAAAAGCUCCGUUUUUAGCAACAAACAUUUUGCCCUCGGAUUUGAGAUAGAAGGUGUACCCAACUGUCUCUUUUGGGUAACCUAUGAAGACGCACUUUUCCGCUUUGGGUUCCAGCUUUUCAGGCUGAAGCUUUUUGACAUAAGCAUCACAUCCCCAAACUUUAAGAAACGACAACUUUGGCCUUUUGCCAUACCACAGUUCGUAUGGUGUCGUCUCAACGGAUUUUGAUGGUGCCCUAUUUAAAGUGAAUGCAGCUGUUUCUAAUGCAUAGCCCCAAAAUGAUAACGGCAAAUCAGUAAGAGACAUCAUAGAUCGCACCAUCUCUAAUAGAGUACUAUUACGACGUUCGGACACACCAUUACGCUGUGGCGUUCCAGGCGGUGUUAACUGUGAACAAUUCCACAUUGUCUUAAGUGAGCACCAAACUCGAAACUCAGAUAUUCACCCCCACGAUCAGACCGCAGGAACUUGAUCUUCUUGUUACGAUGAUUUUCCACUUCACUCUGAAAUUGCUUGAACUUUUCAAAUGUUUCAGACUUGUGCUUCAUCAAGUAGACAUAACCAUAUCUACUUAAAUCGUCAGUGAAGGUGAGAAAAUAACGAUAUACGCCGCGUGCCUCCACGCUCAUCGGACCACACACAUCGGUAUGUAUGAUUUCCAACAAGUCACUUGCACGCUCCAUUGUUCCUGAGAACGGAGUCUUAGUCAUCUUGCCCAUGAGGCAUGGUUCGCACGUGUCAAGUGAAUCAAAGUCAAGUGACUCCAAAAGUCCAUCAGCAUGGAGUUUCUUCAUGCGCUUUACACCAAUAUGACCUAAGCGGCAGUGCCACAAAAAUAUGGCGCUAUCAUUGUUAACUCUUAACUCUUUUGGUCUCAAUGUUAUGUAUGUGUGUAUCGCUAUCAAGAUUCAAUAUGAACAAUCCUCUCACAUUGGGUGCAUGACCAUAAAAGAUGUUACUCAUAGGAAUAGAACAACCAUUAUUCUCUGACUUAAAAGNNNNNNNNNNAUGCGUAUCGCUAUCAAGAUUCAAUAUGAACAAUCCUCUCACAUUCGGUGCAUGACCAUAAAAGAUGUUACUCAUAGAAAUAGAACAACCAUUAUUCUCUGACUUAAAAGAGUAACCGUCUCGCAAUAAACAAGAUCCAGAUAUAAUGUUCAUGCUCAACGCAGGCACUAAAUAACAAUGAUUUAAGUUCAUCACUAAUCCUGACGGUAAUUGAAAUGACACUGUGCCGACGGCGAUUGCAUCAACCUUGGAACCAUUUCCUACGCGCAUCGUCACUUCAUCUUUCGCCAGCCUUCGUCUAUUCCGCAGUUCCUGUUUCGAGUUGCAAAUAUGAGCAACAGAACCGGUAUCGAAUACCCAGGCACUACUACAAGAGCUGGUUAAGUACACAUCAAUAACAUGUAUAUCAAAUAUACCUGAUUUUUCUUUGCCCGCCUUCUUAUCUGCCAGAUACUUGGGGCAAUUGCGCUUCCAGUGACCCAUACCCUUGUAAUAGUAACACUCCGUUUCAGGCUUAGGCCCAGCUUUGGGUUUCUUCGGCGGAUUGGCAACAGGCUUGCCGCUCUUCUUCGAAUUGCCCUUCUUGCCUUUGCCGUUUCUCUUGAAACUAGUGGUCUUAUUCACCAUCAACACUUGAUGCUCUUUACGGAGUUCAGACUCUGCGACUUUCAGCAUCGCAAACAACUCGCCGGGAGACUUGUUCAUCCCUUGCAUGUUGUAGUUCAAAACAAAGCCUAUAUAGCUUGGCGGCAGUUAUUGAAGGAUUCUGUCAGUGAUAGCUUCUUGCGGGAGUUCAAUCCCCAGCUCAGCUAGACGGUUUGAGUACCCAGACAUUUUGAGCACAUGUUCACUGACAGAUGAGUUUUCCUCCAUCUUGCAAGCAUAGAAUUUAUCGGAGGUCUCAUACCUCUCGAUCCGGGCGUUCUUCUGAAAGAUAAACUCCAACUCCUGGAACAUCUCAAAUGCUCCAUGACGCUCAAAGCGACGUUGAAGUCCCGGUUCUAAGCCAUACAAGACUGCACAUUGAACUAUUGAGUAGNNNNNNNNNNCAAUAUACUAAACGCAUCUACAAGCACAAACGUUAGUUUAAAGACAACCCUAUGGCUCCUGCCGGUUGCCGUAGCAUCGACAUGCAAGUCGAUAUUAACUAUUACAACAUGAUUCAUCUCAUACAUCCAAUAUAUCACAUAUGUCGUUGGACAUAUCACAUCACAUGCAUACCCUGCAAAAACAAGUUAGACAUCCUCUAAUUUGUUGUUGCAUGUGUUUACGUGCCUGCUAUGGGUAUCUAGUAUGAUCGCAUCUUACUUACGCAAAGCGACAACGGUGAUAUGCAAUUUGCUAUUUUAACCUUCUCCAAGGACCGCCUCGGUCAAAUCCGAUUCAACUAAAGUUGAAGAAACAGGCACCCGCUAGUCAUCUUUAUGCAACAAGUUGCAUGUUAGUCGAUGAAACCGGUCUCUCGUAAGCGUACGAGUAAGGUUGGUCCGGGCCGCUUCAAUCCAUCAAUACCACCGAAUCGAGAAAAGACUAAGGAGGGAAGCAAAAAGAACAUCAACGCCCACAAACUCUUUUGUGUUCUACUCAAGAUAUCAUCUACGCAUGAACCUAGCUCAUGAUGCCACUAUUGGGGAACGUUGUAUGGGAAACAAAAAAUUUCCUACGCACACGAAGACCUAUCAUGGUGAUGAUCAUUUACGAGAGGGAGAUCGGAUCCACAUACCCUUGUAGAUCGCUAAGCGGAGGCGUUAAUAAACGCGGUUGAUGUAGUGGUACAUCUUCACGAUCCGUCCCACGAACCGUCUCAUGAUCCGUCCCGAUCAAGUGACGAAUGGACAACAGCUCCACAUUCCGCACACGUACAACUCGAUGACGAUCUCCACCUUCUUGAUCGAGCAAGAGGGGCGGAGAGGUAGAUGAGUUCUCCAGCACGACAGCGUGGUGGUGGUGGUGGUGUUGCUAUUCUAGCAGAGAUUCGCCUAAGCACCGCUGAAACUAGAGGAGAAACACAUCUAGAGAGAGGGGGCAGCACGCGACUGUUUUCUGUUGUGACAAAACCCCUCAAAACCCUUAGUAUAUAUAGGAGGAGUGGAGGGAUAGGGAUGCGCCCUAGGGCAGCCUUUUUCUCUCUUGCGCAAGGGAGAGAGGAGGAGUCCUACUCCAAUCCUAUUUGGAGUAGGAUUCCUCCUUCCCACUUGGAAACUCUUUCCACCUUGUGUUUUUUCUUUUCAAACGUUAUGGGCUUUAGUGGGAACUUAUUCCAGCCCACUAGGGGCUGAUUUAUCUCUUCCCACAGCCCAUGAGGCCCAUUGGGGCGUGACACCCCUCCCGAUGGUCCAGGACACCCCUCCCGGCACUCCCGGUACACUACCGAUGAGCCCAAAACUUUUCUGGUGACCAAAACAGGACUUCCUAUAUAUAAAUCUUUACCUCCAGACCAUUCCGAAGCUCCUCAUGAUGUACAGGAUCUCAUCCGGGACUCCUAACAACAUUUGGUCACCAACACCUAUAACUCAACUAUACCGAACCUUAAGUGUGCAGACCCUGCGGGUUCGAGAACUAUGCAGACAUGACCUGAGACACUCUUCGGUCAAUAACCAACAUCGGGACCUGGAUGUCCAUAUUGGCUCCUACAAAUUUUAUGAAGAUCUCUAUCGGUUGAACCUCUAUGUCAAGGAUUCAUAUAAUACUGUAUACUAUUCCCUUUGUCCUUUGGUAUGUUACUUGCCCGAUAUUUGAUCGUCGGUAUCUCCAUAUCUAGUUCAAUCUCGUUACCGGCAAGUCUCUUUACUCAUUCUGUAAUACAAUAUCCCGUAACUAACUCCUUAGUCACAUUGCUUGCAAGGUUUGUUGUGAUGUUGUAUUACCGAGUGGGCCCCGAGAUAUCUCUCCGUCAAACGGAGUGACAAAUCCCAGUCUUGAUCGAUGGCAACCCAACAAGGUAUUUGCAAUGUUUGAUACACACAAGGUAUUCCUCCGGUGUCCGGGAGUUGCAUGAUCUCAUGGUCACAGGAACAGAUACAUUGACAUGCAUAAAAACAGUAGCAAUAAACGAACACGAUCAUAUGCUAUGUUUAUAGUUUGGGUCUUUGUCCAUCACAUCAUUCUCCUAAUGAUGUGAUCCCGUUAUCAAGUGACAACACUUGCCUAUGGCCAGGAAACAUUGACCAUCUUUGAUCAACGAGCUAGUCAACUAGAGGCUCACAAGGGACAAUGUGUUGUCUAUGUAUCCACACAUGUAUUUGAGUUUCAAAUCAAUACAAUUCUAGCAUCGAUAAUAAACGAUUAUCAUGAACAAAGAAAUAUAAUAAUAACCAAAUUAUUAUUGCCUCUAGGGCAUAUUUGCAACAGGGGUAUAUAUAGGCAGCAGCCAAAAUCCAACUGUUACACACAAAAGAGCAAACUCGGUGACACCGAAGUUGGAAACUCGGUGGCACCUACUAGCACUAAAGGUGUGAACUUUUGAAUCUCAGUGAGAUCGAUAUAUACAACUUGGUGGCACCGAAAAGGUGACUAACGUCAGAUGGCCAAACUCGGUGGCACCGAUACUCAAACUCGGAAAUUCCGAUUUUGUGUAUCUUGUCACCCAAACUCGGUAGCACCGAUGCAGUUUCGGUUGCACCGAUUUGGUGGGAAUGGCUAGGGUCCUGUUUGAGGUUUAAACUCGGUGGGUCCAAUGUGGAAAUGUUGGUGACACCAAAUUUUUGAAUGUGGAACUUGACAGAGUGGAUAUGUGAGAAAAAUGACCGAGUGUUUUGGUGGCUAACUUUGAGCAUUUGAGCAAUCAAUUAUUUUAUUACCUCACCCCCUUUUAAUAGUAUUGGCUUUCCUAUGGACUCAUAAAGUGAUUUCUCACAAAUAUAAAAUGAAGAGUCUUCUAGAUUGAAGCUUGAGCCAACCUUAUUCCUUUCUUGCAUCAAGGGGCAUCUCCACAAAAACCUUAAGUCAUAACAUCGUUUGAACUUUCCUGAAAUAUACUUGGAAAACACAUUAGCCCAAUGAUGCAUAUGUUGUGAUCAAUUAUGAAAACCAUCCUAAGGAGCAAUUGUGCUUUCAGUCGCGUGGUGCCGCUCCGGCUCCCCGCCCUUAUCCAUAGUCGGAUAUUUAAGCUGGCCGGUGUCCCCAGCCCCAGCACACCCACCUCCUCCCUUCCGCCACCGCCACCCGAGCCCGUCAGCUAUGCCCCCACGCCGUCACCACUACACAAUCCAGCAACAUCUCCGGUCCCUUGAGCAGGUCUGGAUCCGUAGGGCCAUGGGGCUACCUUUGGAUCCGGAGGAGGAUUUCAAGGAGGGCGAGGAGGUGGAGGGGGAAGAGGAAGAGGAGCUGGGGAUGGAAGAGGACGAGGAGCAUGCGUCAGCGGAGGAGGCGCCACCACUAGCUAUGGGAGAGGACCAACAAGAGCCGACGGAGGAGGCGCCACCACUGGAUGUGGGGGAGGAGGAGGCACCGAGGAUAGAGGACGUGGAUCUUUGGCUGGAGUAGCUGACCAUACAGAACCCCAUUUGAUAUGAGUCGGUUGCGGAGGCGAGGCUUCUCCAUCGGCAGUAAGGCGACGCGGGCUACGCAGGAGGUGGCACAGGUGGCUCAGGCUCCAGUGCAGAUGGUCCAGGCUCCGACACAGGCGGCUCAGGCCAUCUCUGACGACAGCGAAACGUAGCAUACUAUGUAGUACAUAGGCUAUUCAUUUUGCAUGUUUUUAUGGAUCUAUGGGAUAAAAUAUGAAAGAGUUGGAUAUGGACGAGCAGAUUUGAGGCGUGACCGGUCAGUGUCCGCAGAAACGUGCGGACGCGUCAGCGGGUAUUUGAGGGGUCGGAUUUGCAAGUUGCGGCUGUAGAUGCUGUGAGACGACUUAAAGCAUCAUCCGACUCCCCGUCCUUAUCCAUUGUCGGCUAUUUAAGCCAACCGAUGUCCCCCAACCCUAGCACACCCACCCCUUCCGUUCGGGCCGCCACCCAAGCGUGUCAAUUAUGCCCCCAUGUCGUCGCCACUACACAAUCCAGCAACAUAUCUGGCUCCUUGAGCAGGUCCGGAUCCCGAGGGCCGCGGGGCUACCUUUGGAUCUCGAGGAGUAUUUCGAGGAGGACGAGAAGGUGGAGGAGGAAGAGGAGGAGGUGUGGGUGGAGGAGGAUGAAGAGCACGAGACGAUGGAAGAGGCGAUGCCACUAGCUGCGGGGAGGACCAAUAGGAGUCGACGAAGAAGGCGCUGCCGCUGGAUGUGGGGGAGGAGAAGGCACCAACGAUGGAGGACAUGUAUCUAUGGUCGAAGCAACUCGCCAUCGAGAACUCCAUCCGCUCGGAGUCGGCUCCGGAGGCAAGGUGUCUCCGUCGGCAACAGAUGGAGGCGACGUAGAUGGCUCAGGCUUUGGUGUAGACGGUUCAGGCUCCGACGCACACGGCUCAUGCCAUCUCCAACGACGACGAAAAGUAGCAUAGUAUGCAGUACCUAGUCUAUUCAUUUUGCAUAUUUUUGUAUGGGUCUAGGGGAUAAAAUAUAAAAGAGUUAGAUAUAAACGAGCAAAUUUGAGGCAUGACCGAUCGGUAUUCGUAAAAAUAUCGGGACGAGUCCGCGGUUAUUUAAGAGGCCGAAUUUGCAAGUUGCAGGUGUACAUGAUACGAGCAAAUUUGAGGCAUGACCGAUCAGCAUCAUACGUUACCACGUUUAAUUUUUUUCCUUCUUCUUUUGAGUCUAGGUUACGACAUUUGCUAUUAGCCCGUCUGGAGAAGCCCAUAAGCCCGACUGGAGAGGCCAUAAAAGCCCAUACGUGUUGCUGUUUAUAACAAGCAAUUCUCCUUCCACAACUCCGUGUCCAAGCUCGCUCUGCGCCGCCAAGCUUUNNNNNNNNNNNNNNNNNNNNNNNNNNNNNNNNNNNNNNNNNNNNNNNNNNNNNNNNNNNNNNNNNNNNNNNNNNNNNNNNNNNNNNNNNNNNNNNNNNNNAUACAUCAAUGCAUCGUAAUUUUAUGUUUNCUCUAUAUAAUUGGUAUAAUUUCAUAGUUUCACAAUAUCCAAUUUUCAUCCAUCUUAAAAUGAUUAAAGUUGUCUUUUGUAUUAAUUUGCAUAAAUGUCAAGCUAAAAUGAUUUAUUUCAUAAUUAAAUAACCAUAGCUUCGAAUUAAAUGAACCAUAUAUGUAACUUUUGUACAAAAACGUGUAGAAUAACAUAGUGCAUUUUGUUCUUCCUCUUUUAUAAAUAUAAUAUUUUAGACAGGUCUCGAUCAAAUUUGAAAUUUACAUAGGGUCGUUUGGAAAUACUAUAUGUGGUUUUCGCCCUCAUUUAAAUUGCAUAGAUAGAUACUUCACUCAUGUUUCACCUCUUGCCAUGUUGAUCAACAUUCAAAAUUGUUGAGUACAUAAAUGAGAGCAAACUAAAUAAUUGAAUGUGUAAGUUUCAUCNNNNNNNNNNNNNNNNNNNNNNNNNNNNNNNNNNNNNNNNNNNNNNNNNNNNNNNNNNNNNNNNNNNNNNNNNNNNNNNNNNNNNNNNNNNNNNNNNNNNNNNNNNNNNNNNNNNNNNNNNNNNNNNNNNNNNNNNNNNNNNNNNNNNNNNNNNNNNNNNNCAAUAUGCAACUCGAUGCAUUUUGAACUUCAAUUAAUGUGUAGUAUUUGAUUGUUGUAAUUGUCAUGCCAUGCAUAUUUAAAUGGACAUGAAUCAUAUUUCAUUGCGCAUCACUUCAUGUAUAUGUUGUGGUGUUUACUACGUUAUUUGGUUGUUUCUGGAUUUUCUUCUCCUCGCAAGAGGUUCGAAAGUGUUUUGGAGUGUGAGGAUUCAUUCAACUAUGCUCGUUCAUCUACUUCAUGGAUAUGAUCUUCCACAUGAGAUUUCAGGCAAGAUGACCAUUACCUUGCAUACUAUUGGAAAUAUGCCCUAGNNNNNNNNNNNNNNNNNNNNNNNNNNNNNNNNNNNNNNNNNNNNNNNNNNNNNNNNNNNNNNNNNNNNNNNNNNNNNNNNNNNNNNNNNNNNNNNNNNNNGAAGAGGAAAGGGUGAAGCAGCAAAGUACAAGUAAGUAUUUCCCGCAGUUUGAGAACCAAGGUAUCAAUCCAGGAGUAUCAAGGAGAGGCACCAAUUAACCUGCGCAAAAGCAAACAAACUUGCACCCAACGCAUUAAAGGGGUUGUCAAUCCCUUCACUAUUAUUUGCAAGGUGUUUUUGGUAUAUUUGUAUGUAGAUCUGAAUAUAUGAUGUGUAAAAUAGUCCCGAGGGGCAUAGUGUUCACUAGAGACUUCUCUCAUGAUAGCAAGUAUUACGGUGGGUGAACGAAUUACUGUCAAGCAAUUGAUAGAAUCGCGCAAAGUCAUGACGAUACCUACGGCAAUGAUCAUACAUAUAUAUAGGCAUCACGUCCGAGACAAGUAGACCGAUACUUUCUGCAUCUACUACUAUUACUCCACACAUCGACCGCUAUCGAGCAUGCAUCUAGUGUAUUAAGUUCAUAACAAACAGAGUAAGGCCUUAAGCAAGAUGACAUGAUGUAGAGGGAUAAAUUCAUGCAAUAUGAUAUAAACCCCAUCUUUUUACCCUUGAUGGCAACAAGACGAUGCAUGCUUCGCUACCCCUUUUGUCACUAGGUGAGGACACCGCACGGUAUGAACCCAGAACCAAGCACUUCUCCCAUUCCAAGAAUUAUAGAUCAAGUUGGCCGAACGAAACCCAUAACUCGAAGAGAAUUACAAGGAUACGAAAUCAUGCAUAUAAGAAAUCAGAGGAGACUCAAAUAAUAUUUAUAGAUAAUCUGAUCAUAAAUCCACAAUUCAUCGGAUCUCCUCAAACACACCGCAAAAGAAAGUUACAUCGGAUAGAUCUCCAUGAAGAUCAUGGAGAACUUUGUAUUGAAGAUCCAAGAGAGAGAAGGAGCCAUCUAGCUACUAGCUAUGGACCCAUAGGUCUAUGGUGAACUACUAACGCAUCAUCGGAGAGGCAAUGGUGUUGAUGGUAGAAGCCCUCCGUGUCCGAAUCCCCUUCCGGCAGGGCACCGGAACGGUCCCCAGAUGGGAUCCUGCAGAGACAGAAGCUUGUGGCGGCGGAAAAGUAAUUUCGUGGCUCUCUCUGGAGGUUUCGGAAUUGUUAGGAAUUUAUAGGCGAAAGAGGUAGGGCAGAGGAGGCAUAGGGGCCCACGAGCAUGCUAGGGGGGCGCGCCUAGGGGGCUCAUGACCUCCCCCGAGAUCUCCUACCUUUGUUCUCAAGUCCCCUGCGUAUCUUCUGUUAUGGAAAAAAUCAACCCGCAUGUUUUAUUCCGUUUGGACUCCGUUUGGACUCCGUUUAAUAUUCUUUUGUGAAAAAGGUCAAAAACACAGAAAAAACAAAAACUGGCACUAGGCACUGAGUUAAUAGGUUAGUCCCAAAAAUGAUAUAAAAUGGCAUAUGAAUGCAUAUAAAACAUCCCAAGUUGAUAAUAUAAUAGCAUGGAACAAUCAAAAAUUAUAGAUACGUNCCUCCCCUCAAGCGGCAGCCUCCUUCCGCCAAAUCCCCGCUGUCCCUGCUCCCUCCCUUUGACUCGCCCGUCCCCCACAUCCCAGAAUGCCGGCGCCUCCCCUACGCCACCGCCUUGCACCAGCCGCCAUCGGGGCCUCCCCUCGUUGGCUCCCUCCACGCUCGGAUCUCCUCGCCCCGCGCUGGCGGAGCGCCCCCAUCACCCUGCGCCAUGCCCCUGCCCCACUGCUCCUUCGCCAGCGCCCCUCCUCUGUGCCUCGCACCUCGCACAACUCCCUCACCGUGCCACCAUCGUCAUCACGCCGCCGCGCGACCCACUCCCCGAGCCACCAGCACCCGCGCCCCGUGACGCCACCGCCGCUCCAACAUAGGCACCCUACGUCAUCGGUCACCACCUCGGCCAACACUGGCCGGGCCCCUCCGUGCCGGAUUCGCCCCUGCAUCGACAUCGUUGGACGUCGUCCCUCCCCACGCCUAUUGCCCCCUCCCUACAAGAGUUGUGAGCCCCCUCUCCUUCUCCAUUCGGUCCGGCGCCCCCUGCGAAUUGAGUAUUGGGAAUAACCCCUGUGACUUGUGCAUUUGUGUAUGUAAAGAACAAAAACGAAAAAAGAGUAUUUAGGUAUAUGGAUGUGUACUGGCAUGUAUACGUUUGUAUGUAUAUUCAAAAUAUGUAUGUAUGUAAAAAUGAGUGUAUGAGGAAAUUUCAGUGUAGGGAUGCGUGUGCAUGUAGGUGGGUGCUUGUUGUCCCAAUGACAGUUGGGCCCCACAGAUCCCAUCAAAUGACAGGUGGGGCCCUCGUAAAAACCUACAGUAAUAAUAAUAUAGUUUUAUAAAUAUUUAAUAUUAAUUAAUUACUUAAUUGGGUUAAUUAAUUAGUUAAGCAGUAAUUACUAUUUUACAAAAUUAGGAUAUAAUAAUAAUAAUAAAUAAUAAUAAGUAUUUAGUUAAUUUAAAUGUUUAAAGAUUAGGUAAAUUAAUUACUUAAAAUAUUUGCUAAAUCUGUUUACUAAAAUAAAUUAGUAUCCUAAGUAGAGUAUGACACAUGGGUCCCCCACUAAAUUAAUCUGAUUAAUUAAUAAUUAAACCUGAUUAAAAAUUUGUGUCUAUGACGCGUAGGACCCACUCGUCAGUUGACCAGUCAAGUGCUGAUGUGAGCAUGGCACCAUGCUGAUGUCAUUAUAGUAUUUAAUCAAAUUAAUUAAAUCUGUUUUCAAUUCCUAAAUAAUUAAUAAAACUUUAAAAAUUAAUAUAAGAUAAACCGUAAGUCACAUGAAAAUAUUUUCAACGUGAAAGUUGAUCAGCAGAAGGAGAAGAACCCAGAUACGUUAUCCGUUCGUCUGUCACGCGUCCCUAGCAUAGCAAAGAUGGAAAUUUCCAUCGUUUUUGGUCUGACCGGUAGUAGCCAAAGACCUAGAAAAUAUCGCCACAUAUUCUUCCGACCCAUCUAUGACGGAUGUUACUGCGUUAGAUCAUGCCUAGCUUGCAUAUUGCCAUGUUAUGCUUAGUGUUGCACAUGUUGUUAUUUUUUUGUUUCUCCCCCAUUUUCUUACCGGUAGACCCCGAUACUGACGCUGCUACCGGGUACAUCUAUGACCCUGCCAACCAGCCCUUCAUCGCAGAGCAACAAGGCAAGCAAACCCCCCUUGAUCAUUCCUAUAUCGCCUAUUUCUUUCUUCCUACUUCUUGCAUUAGAAUUUGGCUACUAUUGUAGUUAGCUCCUAUAUCUGAUGCAUAGCCUAAUUUUGAUGAACUGCUACUUUCAGUAUCGCACUUAAAGCAGUUUAGUAUAGGUGGAGAAAUCAUCCCCUCUGACCCCGUAGUCCAUUUGCCACGCUUUGUUUUCAAGUCUCGAUCCCUGAUCGAUGAGCCAGACCCGACACAACACUUACACCCCCCUUAGUUGUGCGAUGCUACAAAAAUACUAUCGAGUACUGAGGGUGAUACCUCGCGAAGGACUCCUGAUGAUAUCUCUGUAGUACAGCUAGUCGGUCGUGGUUAUCGAGGGUGAUUCCUCUUUCACCAUUCCCGACGAUGCCUCUGUCGUGCAACCCCUCAAGUGUGGGACCCUUCAGGGCAAUUCCUCUAGGUCCACCUUGACGGAUAGAUCGUUCAGAAUCCAACGAGGUUGAUGCCUCAGAUCCCCCUGAUGUUACAACAACACAGUUACUUGACCAUGUUACUGGGAUCGUUGAUGCAUAGAUGUUAGGCGGGUGGAUUCCCGCAUGUUUGUGUCGUUGACCAUAAUUAAAAUGAUAAUGGAUUUGGGUAUUUCAUCUCGGUUGGUCGGAGACCUUUUCGCACUAACCGUCUACGCGGGAAGAAUUAUGGGUACUCGAUGUCGCGGUAUCAGCCGAAGCUCUUCAGAUGUCAACGAUGUAGCGACGCGCGCCCGAGUGGUCCCGAGAUGCAUCGCUCUUGUAUUAAGAGGUGCUAGGACUGACAUUGGCCGCCUUCGCAUCGUGCAGGAGCGCGGAGGGCAAGUGGUCCCACAACCCCUUUGUGAUUAGGAGUUAGACCGGUGGGCUGGCCUCUCUGUUGAGCUUAGGUGGGGCUGCGACGUGUCAAUAUUCCGUGGUCGGGCAUGACCCAGAAAAGUGUGUUUGGCCAGAGUAUUAUCGAGCAUGACGGGAAACUUGGUGCACCCCUGCAGGGAUGAAAAUUAACUUUUCGGAUAGCCGUGUCCAUGGUUACAGGACGACUUGGAGUUGUGUCCUGAUCUUAUACAACUACAAUUGUUAUUUAACUGGAAUUAGUUGCCCCGGGAUUGCUACCUCGCAGGGAGUCGAGGCAGGAUCUCUGGGCUUGACCUCAUAUUAAUAUUGCUGCAACAAUAUGAUUAUUAAUUGUGUUACCUUGCUCUAUUCUCGUCUAUUGCUGCAAGACCCUGAAGAUGCUAGUCUUUGAUAGGACUAGGCCUUCUCCCUCUUUUCUCGCAUUGCUGCAGUCAGUCCACAUAUAAAACCCCUUCUUUGAUACUGAUGCAUACUUAGCAUAGUUCUGAUAGAAGUCUUGCGAGUACUUUGGAUGAGUACUCACUAUUGCUUUGCUCCCCCUUUGCCCCUUGAUCCGUUGCUACGACCAGAUGAUGGAGCCGAGGAGAUGGAGUAUCCCACCGACGAUGACUGCUCCCCCGACGAUGCCUACUAGUACGUGGAGUCCGCUGAAGACCAGGAGUAGUUAGGAGGUUCCCACGCACGAGGCCUCGCCUCGUUCGAUCAUUGUAUCUUUUGUGCUAGCCUUCUCUAAGGCACCCCAUGUUUUAUGUCUGUACUCAGAUAUUCUUGCUUCCGCUGACUCAUGUGUUUAUCGAGCUUCUGUAUUCUAGCCCUCGAGGCCCCUGGCUUAUAAUAUGAAGCUUGUAUGUUUUAUUUGUGUCUAGAGUUGUAUUGUGAUAUCUCCCCGUGAGUCCUUGAGUUUGAUCGUACGCAUUUGCGUGUAUGAUUAGCAUACGAUUAAAUCGAGGGAGUCACACCGCACCAUCGCCGUCAGUCUUUCGCUUGCUCCCUUCCGCACCAGACCGAACGCAGCAGCCUCAUCUUCCCGUCAGCGCCCGGGCUUCUGCUCCUCCAUCACCUCGGCUUAGUUUUCCUCCGUGCAAUGCUGGUCCCGGGGAAACCAUCCUGGAUUGCGCGGAGGGCCGCUCCUCAUCUUCCCGAGCUCCAGUUCGGCGAGCGUAGUUCCUUGCCAAGGACAUAAGUUCUAGGUUAGAGUAGAUCAUAUCAACCAUGUGACUUGUUUGAGAAAUGCCCCAAACAGAUGAAUGAAAAGACUAAUUUUCUCAUUUUCGAUUCUGCUCUCUGUGUGAUUUUUUCUUGCAUAUCCGGGAGCGUGCCGGCUACUACCGACAAGGCUCCUUGUUGCGCUCAGUGCUACCAUGAAAAUCGCCAAGCGCGGCUUGCUCUGUUCAUCAGAUUCGCAACUGUUUGAAGGCGCUCUAUGGCCGUUAAGGUUGUUUGAACGAGUUCGAAACAAAGACAAGGUGCACCGAGCUUUGGGAAGGUCCCAAUACGCGCAAACUCCUCACACAAAUAUUUGAAACUUUCGAAGGGAAAAAGCAAAAUAUCUAUCUACUUCAAAUCUGAAUCUCAAACUUAAAAACUUAUAUGUCCGCGCUGCGGAUGCGAGGCGCUUGAGUCUUUUGUUGGGGCGUAGGAGCCCUCGGGAAGCAGGGAAUUACCGCUCGUGGUUGUCUCUUCUCCGGCAAGGACUUCUUGCCGACGGUCCGUGACCAUCGCUUGGAGGAAGAGCCAGCCAGGGUGUAACCCCUUUUGUUUUUCUCUUGCUAGGUCGUGCUUGCGGAGCCCCCGAGCGUGUCUUUGGGGGAUGAUGCGACGCUCCUAGCGGCGCAAAAAUAGCAUUGGAGUGCGCGCCGGGACUUCGGGACCGUGUGGCGCAUCCUCAAUGACUAUACAUCGCUUCGCAGAGGUGCGUCCGCUGGAGUAUGCGUCGGGGCCUCUAUGAAGCGGCCAGGCACGCCAUCGACAUUUGCGCGUCGCCCGCCUCCCCCCGAGCGACGCAUCGGCCUGACGAUGCUGCUCUUGGAGUCUCAGCCUCCCUGACCCGCUCGCGCGUGUAGCAAUACGCUUGCACAGGCCUUGGGAAGCCCUAGCAGAAUAGGGCGCCCGCCGUGGCACUCCUUUUCCGGAGGAACGUGACAUAGCGCCCAAACUUCGAUGGAGCUGGCAUUGAGCCUGCUCCUGAUUCACGCGUCUUUCCCCCUCCCCCUACUUGGUGCACCAAAGAUGUCGGCGAUGCUAGGUCGACACCUAUGGGGAUCAACGUGAUACCGUUGUGAUCGUAGGGAGGGGAAAAACAACGUCAAGCGCAAACCUAACGAUCAACACCCGACAAGCCUUUUUACUCAGGUUCGGGCCGCUUACGCGUAAAACCCUACAUCCUGCUUGUCUAAUCGUGUUAAGCGUUCGUUUGUUGUUCGUUUACCGCAAUGAUAACCGUUUUCUUGGCCAAUCUCCAAAAAUUCUAACCCCUUGUGAAUGAGCUAAGGGCCUCCUUGUAUAGGCUAUAGUGCUCGAUGGUAGGUUCACGAGAUGUUACAGUGAACCUACAGCGGCACUUAUCUAUCUACCACUUGUGAUGUGCAUUAAAUGCACGUCUUGUCCAUGUGAGCUAAGUGUUGGUGAAGACAUGUGUCCAGGUGCUUCGACACCUGGACGCCCCGCUGGCGCACGCGGAAUGCGCUGGAACUCGGGGGGCGGUGGCACUGUGGCAAGGGCGGUCGCCCUCUAGUAUCUUGCCACGUCAUCCCGACAAGGGUGCUUGCCAGGGCCUUGGUGCUUCGUCCCGGCAAGGGAGCUUGCCGGGGGGCUUCAGCUGUCUUCCCGACGAGGGAGGCUCGCCGAUGCCUUGCGCUAAGUGUGUUCAACACGUCCAUUAGACAGUUGUGGCCUUGGAUGUCUUCCCGGCAAGGCAGGCUUGCCGGGGCCUUGGAUACCUUGGGGCUGAGUCUUGUCUUGGUCCAGCCGCGCCCUACCGUCAGGGGCUCUUUGCACCCGUGCACAAGUCUAGGGCACUAGAGACCCUAGUCUUCAGUGCACCGACAGUCAUAGAAGCAAUUCAUGAAUGAUUAGUAUAAGGAAGAGAACUUCCACAUACAAAUAUAUUAUUUUGGACUUAUUCUAUGAUUGUGGAUACCCAUUAAUUAUUUUCAAACUUGAGCAAGUAGUUGAAGUUGGAGAAGGAAGACAAUUUAAUGAGUUAUGGUUGUGUAUAUUUACAUAGAAGUUAUAUUGUUAUGGAUCCUCCAACAUGUGAUGCUUGCUUAGGAUCUUUUGCUAGGCAAAAACUCGUACUAAGUAGAAAUACUACUUGUGCAUCCAAAAAGCUUUAAACCCAGUUUCUUGCCAUGAGUGUCCACCAUACCUACCUAGGGAUUUAAUAAGAUCCUUCAAGUAAGUUGUCAUCGAUGCAUAAAGGAAUACAAAUUGCUCCUAAAUAUGUUUGAUCUUUUAUUGUAAGGGAAAAUAAGUGUUGUACAAACUUGCGAUGGCAAAGUAAUAAAAGCGACGGGCUGCAUAAUAAACGUUGCUAUCAUAAGGGGCAAUAUAGGGUGACGUUCUUUUGCAUUAAAAGAUUGUGUAUCCAAAAAUAAAAAGCGCAUGACAACCUCUGCUUCCCUCUGCGAAGGGCCUAUCUUUUACUUUUCAGUACUUACUUUUAUGCAAGAGUCAAUAGUAUGCAUUCUCAUUUCAACCUCAACUAUUCUCUAGUUGGCAAGCAUUAUGUGGUGGGGAAAGAUCUAGGCACAUAUGACCAGUCAAAUAUAUUUGAUCAUGAUUUAUUAUUGUUGACAAUUAUCUCUAUGAUAAAUGAGUUGGAAGGCAAAAUAUUAAGCCACUAUAUUUCUCUAUGUUUGAUGGAUGCCAUUUGUUCUAAGAAUAUGCUUUGAGUACUAGCAAUCAUGGAAGUCUAUAUGAUGAUUGAGUAGGUGGAUCUCUUACUUAUACUCUGUUGAAUAAUUUGAAUUGCAAUUGCUUGGUGACUAAGAAUACAUGUUGUUGAGUUUCAAGAGAAUUCAUUGUUUGAACCUUAACAUGUGAAUUGGUUGCUACAUUAUCAUGAUGAGUUUUACGAGAAAUAGUUGUUCUUAUGAUGCUAGGAAAAGUGGUUGAAAUUAUUAACCUUAUGCACUAUGCUAGCAUUCACACUUCAUAAAUUAUUCAUUUAUCAUUUACCUACUCGAGGACGAGUUGGAAUUAAGCUUGGGGAUGCUGAUACGUCUCAAACAUGUCGAUAAUUUAUGAAGUAUGCAUGUCAUAUUCACCUAUUUUUACAAUACUUUUAUGUGGUUUUGAUGCACUUUCCAUGAUUGAUUUAGAACUAACCCAGACUGAUGCUAUUUUCAGCAGAACUACUGUGGUGUUGUUUUUUGUAGAAAUAAAAGUUCUCCAAAUGCAAUAAAACUUUUCAACAAUUUUUUGGAACAAAAGAGGCGCUAGAAGCUUCGUGGGAGGGACAAAAGAGCCAUAAGGUGGGCACAACCUAAUAGGGCGCGCCUUAGUGUCUUGUGCUCUCCUCGUGUCCCAUCCUCACAUGAUUCCAACGCCUAAAAAUCAAGUGCUCUCAAAUCAAUAAUAAUAUUCGUGGUGACAAUGGGGUGUUCCAUUAUUGAUUCACUUGAUAUAUGUUUUGGUACUCAACUUGCGGAUUUCGGAGGUGACAUUUGGGUAAUCUAUGCAUAGGGGUUCAUACACGUUCUUGUCCUACUUUCUCUGGUAGAAAUCUUGGGGCUCUCUUUGAGGUUCUUUUUGUUGGAUUGAGUAUUAUGAAUCUGAAAUUGUUUGAUGCAUAUCGUAUAAUUAACUCAUGGAUACUCGUGGUGACAUUGGAGUAUCUAGGUGACAUUAGAGUUGGUUGAUGUGUAUCAUAUGGUGUUAUUUUAGUACGAACUCUUGAAUAGAUUGAUCAGAAAGGAUAACUUGUUAUUAUAUUAGUACAAACUCUUGGAUAGAUUGAUCGAAAAGGAUAACUUUAAGGUGGUUUCGUACCCUACAAACAAUUUCUUCUUAUGUUCUCUGCUAGAUAAAAUUUGGAGGGAUUCUUCAUUGCACGUUGAGAGAUGGAUAUGUGAUCCAAUUAUAUUAGCAUUGUUGAGAGAUUGCACUAGCGAAAGUACGGACCGUAGGCCUUGUUUCAAGCAUUCCAAUAUUGUUUGUGCUCACUUUUGUUACUUGCUACCUUGCUGUUUUUUAUUGUUACUAUUACAAAAAACUAUAUCUACUAUCAUUACUACACUUGUAUCACCAUCUCUUCGCCGAACUAGUGCAACUAUACAAUUUACCAUUGUAUUUGAUGUGUUGGGGACACAAGAGACUUUUUGUUAUUUGGUUGCAGGAUUGUUUGAGAGAGGCCAUCUUCAUCCUACACCUCCCACAGAUUGAUAAAUAUUAGGUCAUCCACUUGAGGGUAAUUUGCUACUAUCCUACAAAACUCUGCACUUGAAGGCCCAACACGAGUCUACAAGAACAAGUUCUGUAGUAGACAAUGGAGGUCUGGCGGCGAGAUGGUUUAUGUUAUAGGCGGUGUUGCACCUGAUGUAGUUGAGCCGUUUGUGGACGAGAAGUUGAGAACCUCCCCUUUUCUUGUUUAUUUGUUUCAUGUCAAAUUCAUGAUUACUUUAUGCCUUAUAUAGUAGUCAAUCAACUAGAGAUGCAUACCGAAUCAACUAGGUCUUCCGAUUCUAAACACGAACCAAUACUUGCAAAUAAAAUCUGACGAAUCCUAAGAUAAGAAGGUUUAUCUGGGCUUUAGUUGGAUCCUGCACACGGUCCUGAUUAUCAUUGCCUUUUUGCGUCCCUUGAUAUGCGGCGGUGUCGACGAUUGUACUAUUUUCCCCACAUGACAAGACAUGAGCCUGCCCAUAGUAAUAUUUUUACUUCACAAACUAGUACAAUUACCUUGCAGAAUAGGAAUGAAGAUGUGUCUCGGGCCUGGUUUACUUCUGCGUGAUAUACUUCUUACUAUGAGGUUAAAUCAGUCUACGUGGCACCUAUUUAAGGCAUGUGCAAUCAUGCUAUCUUAGGAGUGUCACGUAUGAUAGAUGAUGAGGUGGAGGAGACAGAACUUAUAAGAAAAUACAAGAGAUGAUCUCUUAGCGCAAUAUGUCUCAUCAUGUUUUUAGGAAUAGAAAAUAAGGCUAAAAGAUGACCCAUUGUAAGACAUUUUUUGUCAUCUCUACAUGCAACACUUAAGAUAAGACAAUCUUAUCAAUCAUUGUACAUGCCCUUAAGGAUCUAAGGACGAAAAAACAUGAGUAAAAUACAAUCGACGUCCUAAAAGUAUUCCAAGUGUGUUAAGUAGGUCCUAAAAGAUUGAAACCGUUCACCGUGGGUCCUAAAUGUGUGUUAAUCAUUCACUGCAGGUCCUAAAAGUAUACCAGGUGUGUCAAGUAGGUCCUAAAAUUCAUGGGUAAAAUACACAUAUAGGACCCGUGGUGAACAAUUUCAAACUUUUAGGACCUACUUGACACACUUGAAAUACUUUUAGGACCUCCAGUGUAUUUUACUCUAAAAAACAUUUGUUUGUAACACCAGGAGUAUACGGUUUCUUAACGUGCAACACUGCCACUGUAUUAUCUAGUGUUAAUUUUUGAACUAUUGAAAGCAACCUUUUGUUCUAUCCUUUGUUGACUGCUUGAGUAACGUUAUGUGAUUAUUCUGCAAACCACAUUUUUACCUCAUGUGUGUUUUUAUUCAAAUAGCACUAUGAUGGUUGUAACCUGUAGUGAAACUCAUCCAAAAGUUGGAGAUGUGUAUGGUUAAUUUGUAUAGAUCAUGAGAUGGUGAUAAGCCAUUCUGCACCUUUGCGAUUUUAAUAGCAUAUCUUUCCAAAUGAUUGCAAAUUUUCUGCAUUCUCGUGUGCCCUAUGGACUGGGUAUGCUAUAUCCUGAUAUGUACUUGUCUCCUCUUUACUCGAUUGGAUUAGUUGGUAAGCAUGUUAUGCCUCUUGUAUCUCACACUUUCUUAAUCUGUUUUUUCAGUGUCCUUUGGAUAUACUCAUAGUCAAUGCCCAUUGAAAAAAGUGAGAAAUUUCAGAGAGAACAUGGGGUUGACCUCGAAACACAAUGGCUAGCUACAUCCAUCGUCAAUUAGAAUGGAACCAUUGUCAAAGGUCAAGCUUUUCUCCAUAUUGUUUUUAUUUUAGCACCACUUCUCUCCAUACUUUCUAUUUUUAAUUUUCCAAUUAACGGAUUAUAGGCCAAAUAAAUUUGUAUACCAAUCAUGUUGGAUUAGAAUACUAUUCUUCCCUUCUACCUAUAGUUCUGUAAUAAUCUAUGGCUGAAUAUACUAGGAAGAAUCAACAACUAGAAUCAUCCCCUAAUAUAUAUGGAUGUACAAUCUUGUAAACCACAUCUUUCUGUUUACACCUCUCAAUUUCGUAUCAUAAUUGUCGAAACAAAAUUUGUUUUUAUCAUUUUUAUUGAGCCUCCAUUUUCAAAGUUCUCUUCUGUUGGGUUCAUUGUGAAAUCUCUUUCUGUAUUAUUUUUAAUAUACACCAUCUCUAAGUUUUGAAUUGCUUGUGUAUACCAUUCAACUAAUGAAACAACAGUUCAUAUGAUUGUAGUUUGAUGCACAUUACAUUUUAUACCCUUGCAAAUCGUUAAUAUAAAUGCCUAGGAACCCAUUUUUAUUCAUAUAGCCAGUCAACGGUCCCUUUUUUUAUUACCACAUAGCAUUGCUUCUACAGAUUCUACUACUCGUAGCGCAAUUGGAACUUUGUGACUUCUGCUAAUACAUCUAGCAGAUGACCAAACAGUAGCCAUUAAGAGCGACAAUUGAAGAAGGACGCGGGUACGAACGCAUAACAAAGGAACUAAUGCUGCUGCGAACUCAACCCCUAAAGUAUUCUUGCGAAAAUCUUUGAAUUCCUUGAACAAGGACCAAAUUUGUUAACAUACUAGCUUGUAUAAUUUGCCACAUAUUAGUUACAGUAUUUAUUUUAUUUUAUGGGUACAUGAGGCCACGAUUGAUAUUGGGUACUAGUUUGCUAGUGGCGUAAUUCUUAUGUAUUGAUGGCAGCGAGAAUACUUAAGUUAACAUACCUUACGUUAUAAAUUGGUACCGUCAAUUCGAACCUUGUCAAACAGUGUAUCGCAGCAGCUGACAUUACUAUUUUACACUGGCUUCUAAAUUUCUUACAUCCGUUUUUUGAAAAAUACCUCUCACUGGUUGAUUUAUUUGUUAUGUCGGUUUCAGUAUUCUUACCUAGCUUCAGAUUGUCUUACAUUUGUAGUUGUGCAAUUGUUUUUCGGAGGAAAAUGUAGUUGUCCAAAUGACUGGCUAGUUUAGGUGGUUCCAAAUUCUUACAUGCACUUCUCCUUUUUUUCUCUUGGUAAAACAGCUAGUGUUGGGUAUAAAUUUACGAUGUAAGAUUAAUGUGCAUUGGGCUGGGGAUGGAAGCGUGUGGGUUUGCUCGAUGUAAAAUUACGGUAUAAGAUAAUUAUGCGUCAUUGUUAAGUUACAUUUUGUGGAGAUGUGGUGCAUCCGACAUAAAUUUACCUUCUGUGGAGACAUGGUCAAACUUUAGAAGUGGCUCAUUCGGCCGCUUGGACACGGGAUGGUGGGAUUGGCGGGGUGACGAAUAACUAUUCUUCACCUUGGGUGACGAAUAGUUGAUCCUCAACACAAUGAUCCACUUUGAGAUUUAUUCGAUGUAAUUCGUGUGAUGUUUUUGUUGGGAUUCGAUGAUUCAUGGAUUUGUGGUCAGAUUGUUCAUUGCAUGUAAUUUAAUUUGUUGAUGUUUCUUUGUUGUAUGAUUAAGUUGCUAUGUAUGCUUUCUGAGUUAUUUGUCUUCUCUAGCCAAUUAGAUGGGUGGUCCUUUGUUGAUGUGUUGGGUUUUUCCCUCAAGAGGAAGGGAUUGAUGUAGUAGAGUAGCAACAACUAUUUCCCUCAGUGAGAACCAAGGUUUAUCGAACCAAUAGGAGAAGCACGCAAUCAACUGUUGACAGUUACUUCAGAAACAAGAGAAAAUACUUGCACCCAACAAGGGCAAGAGGGUUGUCAAUCCCCUUGUCGUUAAUUGCAAGGAUUAAAUCUGAUUUUGGUUGGUAAAUAACACAUGAAGUAAAUAAAAGGUAAAUAAAUUGCAGCAAGUAAAUGGAUCUUAGAUAAAUUAAAUAUGUGGAACAAAUCCAGAUCCAUAGUUCUCACUACAGGCAUCUCUCUCAAGAACAUAGCAUACAGUGGUGAACAAAUUACUGUUCGGCAACUAAUACAAAAGCGCAUAUUUAUGAUGUUAUUCAUGGCAAUGAUCACGUGCAUAGGUGAUACGUCUCCGUCGUAUCUAUAGUUUUUUAUUGUUUCAUUCCAAUGUUCUACAACUUUCAUAUACUUUUGGCAACAUUUUAUAUUAUUUUUGGGACUAUCUUACUUAACCAGUGCCCACUGGCAGUUCCUGUUUUUUGUGUGUUUUUUGUUUCACAGAAAUUCCAUAUCAAAUGAAGCCCAAACGCGAUAAAAAUUUACGAAGAAUUUUUUGGAAUAUAUGUGAAUUUUGGGAAGAAGAAUCAAUGCCUCAUUAUGCCCGACGUGCUCACAAGGCAAAAGGGCAUGACCAGGGGGGUGGCCAGGCCCUGAUGCCUUAUGGAUCCUCCUUAAUUUGGUUGGGUCCCUACUUCCUCCGUAUGAAAGAUAUAUUUUUGAUAAAAAUCCCCGUAAAAUUUCAGACCGAUUGGAGUUACGGAUCUUCGGAUAUUUAAGAAAUGGUGAAUGGCUCGAAAAUAGGAGCGAAAAUAGCAGAGAAACACAGAGAUAGAUCCAAUAUCGGAGGGGAUCCUACCUUUCGGGAGCCAUUGCAGCCAUGGACCAGAGGGGAUACCCUCCUCCCAUCUAGGGAGGAGGCCAAGUAAGAAUAAGAAGGAGGGGGCUUUCUCCCCCUCUCUCCCUCGCGUCAGAGUGCUGCCGGGGCUACCAUCGUGACGGCGAUCUACACCAAUAACUUCGCCGCCAUCACCACCAACUCUAUCUCCCUCUAUGCAAUAGUGUAAAUCCUCUUAUUCCUGUUGUAAUCUCUACUUAAACAUGGUGCUUAAUGCUAUAUAUUAUUACCCAAUGAUGUGUGGUUGUCCUAUGAUGUGUGAGUAGAUUUCUUUUGUCAUAUGGGUUAAUUGUGGUAUGAUGUUCUAGAUAUGAUUUGUGUGUUGAUAUGGUACUGUCCUAAGGUGACCUCCGUGAGGGGCACACAUAAGGGAAUCCCGCUGGAGGAUUUGCAAUAUGUUCAUAAUUCUCUUAUAGUGGGUGGCUAGAGUGAUAGAAGCUUCCACCCGAGUAAGGGGAUUCUUUGCGUAUGGGGGUAAAGAGGACUUGAUGUUUAAUGCUAUGGUUGGCUUUUACCUUAAUGAUCUUUAGUAGUUGUGGAUGCUUGCUAGAGUUCCAAUCAUAAGUGCAUAUGAUCCAAUUACGGAAUGUGUGUUAGUGUAUGCCUCUCCCUCAUUGCAUAUGACAAGUAUCUAUCAUGUUAUAUUCAAUUGCCUAUGGACAAUCUUUUGCCUACGUUAGAAAAAGAUUUCUACUAAACAACGAACUAAAUUAAUAUUUAUUUAAAAAUUCACCUAACUUUUAUUUCCACGUUCUUUUUUACCUUGCAAACCUAUCUAUUACACCUACUAAGUACUUCUAGUUUUAUUCCUGCAAAGUAGUUCCAUACUUGUUCUUGGUAAAGUAAGGUUUAGCGUGCAUAGAGUUGUAUCGUUGGUCGAUAGAACUUGAGCGAAUAUUAAUUCUACCUUUAAAUCCUCAUUGGGUUCGACACUCUUACUUAUCGAAAAAGGCUACAAACAACCCCCUACACUUCAGGAUUAUCAAUAGGCAUCACGUCCUUAACAAGUAGACUGAAAUGAUUCUGCAUCUACUACUAUUAUGCUUGGUGUCGGGGUACGACGAUCUAUGGGACCGGCAAGGUCCAUUUUGCUCUAUUUCCGUAGGGACAAUAGAUGCACAAAGAGCAUCAUCGAUAUCUGCGUGAACGGGGGUUUGAGAUAGGUUCGGGCCACUCAGAAGCAUAAAACCCUACGUCUUGUGUUUUGGUGUAUUAUGUGAAUGAUCACAGUACAAGUGCGCUCACACGCAAGGAUGCUCGAGGGCAGCAGCUAUGCGUGUGCAAUGAACAAAGUAUUGACCCUUCUAAAGGUAGCCAUGGACCUCCUUUUGUAGUCCAAGGGGUUACCACAGUGGGUAAAACAGUCUUUUCAUGGGAGAAUAGUCCACAAGCUAACUGCCAAAAUUACUCAUAGAUGCAAUGGUGGGAAAUACCUAACUCUAACGGACAUAGAGAGACGCAUUAAAUGCAUCGUCAGGUGUCUGCUACUUCUCAAACAACAGCGCGAGAAAUUGACACGUUGACGGAGACUUUCUUGCGUUGGUUUUUCCCUUGAAGAGGAAAGGGUGAUGCAGCACAGGAGCAGUAAGUAUUUGCCUCAAUUUGAGAACCAAGGUAUCAAUCCAGUAGGAGAAUCUUGUCAAGUCCAGAGUACGUGCGCAAACACAAAAGAGCUUGCACCCAACGCUAUAAAGGGGUUGUCAAUCCCUUCAAGAUUGAUUGCAAAGUGAGAUUUGAAGGCGGAAAGCGCAACGAAGAAAAAGUGUAAGGCUGAAAAUAUGGUGUGGAGUAGACCCGGGGGCCAUAGUGUUCACUAGAGGCUUCUCUCAAAAUAGCAAAUAUCACGGUGGGUAAACAAAUUACUGUCGAGCAAUUGAUAGAACCGCACAAACUCAUGACGAUAUCUAAGGCAAUGAUCAUACAUAUAUGCAUCACGUCCGAGACAAGUAGACCGAUACUUUAUGCAUCUACUACUAUUACUCCACACAUCAACCGCUAUCCAGCAUGCAUCUAGUGUAUUGAGUUCAUGACCAAUAGAGUAACGCCUUAAGCAAGAUGACAAGAUGUAGAGGGAUAAUCUCAAACCAAUGAUGAAAACCCCAUCUUUUUACCCUUGAUGGCAACAACACGAUGCAUGCCUCGCUACCCCUUCUAUCAAUGGGUGAGGUCACCGCACGGUAUGAACCCAAAACCAAGCACUUCUCCCAUUGCAAGAAUCAUAGAUCUAGUUGGCCAAACAAAACCCACAACUCGAAGAGAAUUACAAGGAUAUGAAAUCAUGCAUAAGAGAGAUCAGAAGAAACUCAAAUAAGAUUCAUAGAUAAUCUGAUCAUAAAUCCACAGUUCAUCGGAUCUUGACAAACACACCGCAAAAGAAGAUUACAUCGGAUAGAUCUCCAUGAAGAUCAUGGAGAACUUUGUAUUGAAGAUCCAAGAGAGAGAAGAAGCCAUCUAGCUACAAGCUAUGGACCCGUAGAUCUACGGUGAACUACUCACGCAUCAUCGAAGAGGUCAUGGUGUUGAUGAAGAAUCCCUCUGUAUCCGAAUCCCCCCUACGGCAGGGCACCAGAACGUGCCCCAGAUGUGAUCUCGCGGAGACAGAAGCUUGCGGCAGCGGAAAAGUACUUCUGAUGAUCUCCUGAUUUUUUUCUGGGAUUUUAGGGAAUUUAUAGGCGAAAGAUACGUUGGAGAAGUAUCAGUGGCGCUCUGGCAAUGUUCCCCGGCAAGAAUUGCCUCUCCUUCUAUUUCGUUCGCCCAACUACGUUCUAUUUACUUGACACGCCACGGGACAGGUGUUGUUAAAGUGGCUGCAUGUCCCUCACUAGACCCACCUAACCGCCUACCCACUCAGCACCCUCACUGAUGCUGACAAUCAGUCAAUGAGGUGUAGCUACGGAGAUCUAGAGGGGUCCUCCUAGGCGUGGCAGUUGUCAGGUCUUCCUCCUACUAGCAACGCGGCUCGUCGGGGCCUUGUUUCUGAUUUUCGAUCGUUGUUACUCGACGGUUGAUAUUGGCCGGCAGGGUCUUGUCAGUCCGGAGGCUGCGGCUGUGUGUAUACCAGUGUGGGUACUAAAGCCCCUAUAUUUUAGUACACCGACACUUGCCUCUCUAGUUAUUAAGUUCAUAACAACCAGAGUAAUGCAUUAAGUUAGAUGACAUGAUGUAGACAAAGUAUAACAAGCAAUAUGCUUAGAACCCCUUGUUUUAUACUUAGUAGAAACAAUAAUCAUAUGUGCCUCGCUAGUACUUCCUGUCACUAGGUGAGGACAUCACAAGAUUGAACCUACUACAAUGUACCACUCCCUCUAAAGAUCUACUCAUCUAAUUGGCCAAAAAACAGACUCAUAGAUCAUAAAUCAUACAUAGCUAUAACAAUCACACAUAAUAAACUUCAGAAAAGACUCAAUUACUUUUAAUGAAUAAUCUUAUCAUAAAUCCACAAUUCAUCGGAUCCCAACAAGCACACCACAAAAUAAGAUUACAUUCGAUAGAUCUCCAAGAAGAUGGAGGAGAAUAGGGUAUUAAAGAUUAGAGAUAGAUAGAUAGAGAGAGAGAGAGGGAGGGAGGGAGGGAGGGACGGAGAAAGAGAGAGAGAUUUAGAUACUAGCUAUGGACCUCUAGGUCUGCGGUGAACUACUCACACAUCAUCAUGGAGGCAACAAGGUUGAUGUAUAUGGCCUCCAUGAUCGAUUGCCUCUCUGACAAAGUACCAGCGGAGGCCCCGAGAUGGGAUCACAGUGAAACAAAGACUUGCGGCGGUAGAAAAAUUGUUUCGGGUCUCUCCCUCAUGUUUUUGAAAUAAUUGAGAAUAUAUAGAGGUGGAAUUAGGUCAGGUGGAGUUGCGUGGGACUCAUGAGCUCAACGGGUGCGCCCUACCCCCAGGUCACGCCAUGCAAGUUCGUGGCUCCACUGUAAGUCUUCUACCAUCCUCCUGAACCUUCUAGAAUCUCUUCUAGUCGACAAAAAAUCACCAUAAAGUUUCAUCGUGUUUGGAAUUUUGUUUGGUAUUGAUUUUCUAAAAAGUGAAAAAGCAAGAAAAAGAGGAACUCGCACUUGGCACUGGGUUAAUUGGUUAGUUCCCCAAAAUGAUAUAAAAAGACCUCGAAAGUAUAUAAGAUUGAUAUAAAAGUAGCAUGAAACAAUCAAAACUUAUAGAUAUGUUGGAGAUGUAUCAAGCAUCCCAAAUCUUAGUUCCUACGCGUCCUUGAGUAGAUAAAUGAUAAAAACCAAAAAAAUUAUGUUGAAUGCUACCUAGCAUGUUUAUCCUGUAAUCCUUGUAUGGUAUAAAUGUUGAGAAAUGAUGAUUAAUAGAUAACAAAACAAUAUAUAUAUAUAUAUNUAUAUAUAUAUAUAUAGGAAUGCUAGAAAAUGACAAUUGCUUUUAAAAAUAACAACACUAAAGAACAUGAUCCCCUAAUUCGCUUAAUCAUAUAAGAAAUGGCAUAACUCUAUCUUCCUAAAAUCAAGCAUAAAUCAUGGUCACGGUGAUGCCUAACCAACCAUUUGAAUCCUACUUUUUUACGUGCUCCAACUUUUUCAAUUUCACUCAAUACCUUAGUGUGAGCAUGGACUUUCAACACUUGGGUGGAUCAGGAUGAUGAUAGGGAUAAACUAGGGAAGGCAAAAGUUUGGACAGUCUCAUACCAACUAGGAAGAUCGCUAGGAUAUGAGGAUACCUCCCAAUCGAUACCGAUGCGACAAGUAGGGAUUGCCAUGCAACUUUUGAUGCACUAAAGAUGUAAGUUCACAAAAAUAUCUACUCAUACUAAGUAGGUGUUGGAAAUAUUCCCUAGAGUCAAUAAUAAAUUGGUUAUUAUCAUAUUUCCUUGUUCAUGAUAAUCAUUUAUUAUCCAUGCUAGAAUUGUAUUGAUUAGAAACUCAAAUACAUGUGUGGAUACAUAGACAACACAUUGUCCCUAGUGAGCUUCUAGUUGACUAGCUCGUUGAUCAAAGAUGGUGAAGGUUUCCUGGCCAUAGACAAGUGCUGUCACUUGGUAACAGCAUCACAUCAUUAGGAGAAUGAUGUGAUGGACAAGACCCAAACUAUGAACGUAGCAUAUGAUCGUUUUAGAUUAUUGCUACUGUUUUCGUCAUGUCAAUGUAUCUGUUCCUAUGACCAUGAGAUCAUGCAACUCCCGGACACUGGAGGAAUACCUUGUGUGUAUCAAACGUCGCAACGUAACUGGGUGACUAUAGAGGUGCUCUCCAGGUAUCUCCGAAGGUGUCUGUUGUGUUGCUGUGGAUCAAGACUGGGAUUUGUCACUCUGUUUGACGGAGAGGUAUCUCGGGGCCCACUUGGUAAGGCAACAUCACAACAAGCCUUGCAACCAAUGUGACUAAAGAGUUAGUCAAGGGAUCUUGUGGUACGGAACGAGUAAAGAUACUUGUCAGUGACGAGAUUGAACUACGUAUAGAGAUACGGACGAUCGAAUCUCGGGCAAGUAACAUACCGAAUGACAAAGGGAACGACAUACGGAAUUAACUGAAUCCUUGACAUAGAGGUUCAACCGAUAGAGAUAUUUGUAGAAUAUGUAGGAGACAAUAUGGGAAUCCAGGUCCCUCUGUUGGUUAUUUACUGGAGAGUGUCUCGGGUCAUGUCUACACUGUUGUCGAACCCGCAGGGUCUGCACACUUAAGGUUCGGUGAUGUUUCGGUAUUAUUGAGUUAUGUGUGUUUGGUAACCGAAAAGUUGUUUGGAUUCUCGGAUGAGAACCCGGACGUCAUGAGGAGCACCGGAAUGGUCCAAAGGUAAAGAUUAAUAUAUAGGAAAGUUGCAUUUGGCUUCCGAAAAGUUUUCAGGCAUUACCGGUAAAGUACCGGGAAUGACGAAUGGGUUUCGGGGUUUUACCGGGAGGGGCCACCCACCCGGGAGAGAACCUAGUAGGCCUAAAGGUGUUACACCAACCCUUAGUGGGCUGGUGCGGCCAGCCUAAGAUGGCCUAUUUUGGCCAAGAAUCAAAGAGAGAAAAAUCCCAAAGGCACUACAGGUAUCAAACUCUUUGUCGUCUGCCAUAACGGACGGCAAAGAGGUGAUCCACCGACGGCAAAGGUCUUUGUCGUGAGCCUCCCAUCGGCAAUGUUCCUACGACUACUUUCAACGGAAUUUCACCUUCUUUGCCAUCAGUCUGCCUUAAGCGGACGGCAAAGGUCUUUGCCAUCAGCCUCUGGCACCGAGCAGACGACAAACAUGCUUAGACGGCAGCCGACAAGCAACAUCUCCGUUAGGUCUAACGGAGGCUUUGUCGUCUGCCUUCCUCCCUCUCUUUGUUGUCUGCCUCCCUCCCUCUCUUUGUCUUCUGCCUACCUCCCCCUCUUUGCCGUGUGCUUCUACGGGCCAGCACAGAGUUGGGCCAGUGCAGGAAUCAGACUCUUUGCCCUCUGCCUCCCUACCGCUGUGUUGUCAGCCUCCCGAGGUAGCGGACGACAAAGAGCCCAUAUGGCCAGCUGCUACUGCCUAGGUUACAAAGCUGGGUGCCAUGUGGCACGUUUGCCGUCAGCUGCCUGAUGGCAAAGGCCUUUGCCAUCAGCUGGUAGAUGGCAAAGAGCCCAUAUUUUCACAUUUUUGUUUAUUUUUUCUAUUUCACAUCACAUAUCUAUAAUUCAUAGCGUAUAUAUGAUAUAUAGGUCACAACACAUAUAUGAUAUACAUAUAGAAUUCAUCAAUGCCAUUUUUCAUCAAUGUACAUCCCAUAUAUCGAAAGAACCAACAUAUACAAAGUUUCAUCCAUAUAUACAUAUACAUAUAGUUCCACAUAUAUUUUUCAUCCAUAUAUACAUAUACACAUAGUUCCACAUUGUUCAUCAACUCAAAUGAAAACUAGAACUAAAGAACUCCAAUGCCAGCUUCCAUUCAUGUAGUACAUCGAAUCUGCAAAAUGGGAAUAAGAAAGUCAGAAGAAGAACAACAAAAACAUAUAUAUGGAAAAUAAGCUAAAUUGAAGAAGAAAGAGAAGAAGCAAGAAGAGAAGAACGAUAAGAAAAACAAGAAGAAUGAGGAGGAGGAGGAGGAGGAGGAGGAGGAGAAGGAGAAGUAAAGAAGAAGAGAAUAAGAAGGAGAAGAAGGAGGAGAAUAAGGAGGAGAGAAGAAGAAGGAUAAGAAGGAGGUCUCCUGCUACUUCUUCUCCUCAUUCUCCUUCUUCUUGAGGAGAAGGAGGAGAAGAAGGAGAAGGAGCCCUCCUUCUUCUCCUUCUUCUUCUCUCCUCCUUCCCCUCCUCCUUCUUCUCUUUCUCCUUCCCUUCUUUUUCUCUUCUUCUUCUUCUUCUUCCUUUUCAUUUCUCCUCUUAUCCUCUUCUUGGAGCUAAAUUAGCUAACUAUAUCUUUUUGGAGCUAAAUGGGCUAAUUAUGUUAGUAUAGAGGAAAACAAGCUAAGUAUAUAAUAUUAAUGAGCUAACUAAGGUUCUUAUGCGAUUUUGUGCUUAUAAUGUAUUUUAGGAGCUUAAUUAGUCAUUUUAAUGAGCUAACCGAGGUUCUUAUGAUGUUUUUAUCUAAGUAAGCUAAUUAUGUCAUUUUGGAUGAUAAUUAGCUAAAUAUGUCUUUGGUGGGGAAAAUAAACUAAAUUGAAGAAGAAAGAGAAGAAGCAAGAAGAGAACAAGGAGAAGAAAAAGAAGAAGGAGAAGGAGGAGGAGAAGAAAAAGAAAAGAAGAAGAAAAGAAGAGGAGAGGAAGAAGAGAAUAAGGAGGAGAAUAAGGAGGAGAGAAGAACAAGGAGAAGAAGAAGGAGAAUAAGGAGGGCUCCUUCUCCUUCUUAUCCUCCUCAUUCUCCUCCUUCUCCUUCUUCUCUUCUUAUUCUCCUCCUCCUUCUUCUCCUUCUCCUUCUCUUAUUUUUCUCUUGUUCUUCUUCUUCCUUCUUUUCAUUUAUCCUCUUCUCCUCUUCUUGGAGCUAAAUUAUCUAAGUAUGUAUUUUUGGAGCUAAAUGGGAUAAUUAUGCCAUUUUAGAGGAAAACAAGCUAAGUAUACAAUAUUAAUGAGCUUUCCAAGGUUCUUAUGCCAUUUUGAGCUUAUUAUGUCUUUUAGGAGCUUAAUUAGUCAUUUUAAUGAGCUAACCAAGGUUCUUAUGAUGUUUUUACCUAACUAAGCUAAUUAUGUCAUUUUGGAGGAUAAUUAUCUAAGUAUGUCUUUGUUGGGGAAAAUAAUUUAAAUUGAAGAACAAAGAGAAGAAGCAAGAAGAGAAGAAGGAGAAGAAAAAGAAGAAGGAGAAGGAGGAGGAAGAGAAGAACAAAAGAAGAAGAAAAGAAGAGGAGAAGAAGAAGGAGAAUAAGGAGGAGAGAAGAAGAAGGAGAAGAAGGAGGGCUCCUUAUCCUCCUUCUCCUUCUUCUCUUCUUCAUCUCUUCUUCUUCUCCUCCUCCUCCUUCUUCUUCUCCUUCUCCGUCUCUUCUUUUUCUCUUCUUCUUCUUCUUUCUUCUUUUCAUUUCUCCUCUUCUCCUCUUCUUGGAGCUAAAUUAGCUAAGUAUGUAUUUUUGGAGCUAAAUGGACUAAUUAUGUCAUUUUAAAUGGAGCUAAAUAAUACUAAUUAGUUAUUAUGUCAUUUUGAGCUUAUUAUGUCUUUUAGUAGCUUAAUUAGUCAUUUUAAUGAGGUGACCAAGGUUCUUAUGAUGUUUUUACCUAACUAGGGUAAUUAUGUCAUUUUGGAGGAUAAUUAGCUAAGUAUGUGUUUGUUGGGGAAAAUAAGCUAAACUGAAGAAGAAAGAGAAGAAGAAAGAAGAGAAGAAUUAGAAGAAGGAGAGAAGAAUAAAAAGAAGAAGAGAAGAAAAAGAGAAGAAGAAGGAGCAGAAUAAGGAGAAGAAAGAUGAGAGAAGAAGAAGAAGGAGAAGAAGGAGGGAUCCUUCUCCUCCUUCUCCUUCUUCUUCUCCUUCUUCUUCUUCUCUUAUUCUUAUUCCUUAUUUUCAUUAUUACUAUUUAAAUUGAUCUUAUAUGUCAUUUUGAAGCUAAAUUAGCUAUGUUAUGAAACUAGUGGUUUCACUAACCAUUUUUGAGCUAAAUUAGCUAAAUUAUGAAACCAGUGGUUUCACUAACCAUUUUUCCUAGUAGAAAUCAAGUAGGAGCUUAUUGGAGAAAACUUACCACAAUGGUCAUAAAGGAGGAGAAGCACCAGGAUUGCUCGCGUCGGCUUCGUUUGGAGGCCGUUGCCCUGGAGAAGGGUCGUGCGAUGACGCUCGGGAGUUAUUCUGCAGAAAAGAUAUUUUGCAAUGUCUUAGUUAACAUGGUGACACUCAGUUGUUAAUACUAGUUUAUAAUGACCAUUGAAAUGAAACUCACCGUGCCAAUCGCGGAGAAUACGGGCAUCGACGGAGCGGCUUGACCGGUAUUCUCGUACAUAGACUGCACAUUUUGUUUUGAAGAGUCAGUCGUAUUAGUUAGUAAUGAAACAGACAUUACACACAUGAUUUGGCUAAUGUGAAAAAGAAACUUACCGCAAUAAGCUCGUACAUGGCCAGGUGAGCCGCCUCAUGCUGGGCCCUCUCCUCCUCAAUCAGCCGAGCCGUGGUCCGGUCCCUCUAGUCAAGAGCAGCCUGAAGAGCAGCCUUGCUUGCCGCUCUCUCUUUCUCAAGAGCAGCCUCGUUUGCCGCUCUCUCUUUCUUAAGAGAAACCUGCAACACCAUUUAUCGUUACCACAGUAAUGAUCGAUGUCCACACACACACAAUGAAAUGGAUGAAAGUUUUCUGAGUCCGUACAACUAACCUCGAUGGCAAGAUCAAUUGGCUGUGGACGAGGCGUUAUCUCAAGACAGGAGCUCGACUGGCGCGCCUUGAUCUCCGGGAGAGUGAGUGGACAACGUAUUAUCCCAUCUCCAAUGGCUAUCGAGCUAAGGGGCCUCCCGCCACCAGAUAUCAUUACCAGCUCUGGAUCCAAAGGUUCUUGGCUCGGGUCAAAGUCCUCCCCUUUCCAAGCCUUCCCCGUGUCCCUGUAUUUCACGAGCUUGUGGUGGGAUGAGAUGUUGGUGAAGUUAUUUGGAUCAUCCAGGUCAGACUCAGAGAAUGCCUUCGCGUUCUUGUACGAGGCGGUAUGGGCCAUGCCAUAAAGGUCGUACAACUCUGGCAUCUCCGUCUUACUGUGAUGCGCCUAAAAGAGAGGAACAAAGUAUUAGUAAGGGGCUCAAGCUAGCAUGAAGAAUGAAUUGCAUGAAUCAUGAAACAAACCACAUACCCAGUUUCGUCCGAACUGAAGUAAGUUGGCGCUGCCUUGAUGGUGUGUCACACCAACCAUUUGGCUACGCCGAUCCUUCGCAUUGUCGUGGACGGCUCACCAAUUGUGUGUGCACAGCUCACCCACCAACGCCUCCCAACAAUCCAUCUUAUCUGCACACCAUCUCGGGGGCACCUAUUAGUUAUUAGAAAGAAUUUUGAGCGCUACUCCUAUGAAUCAAAUCAAGAAAACUACGUACAAGGCCUUAAGAAUAGGUAAUUACUUUCAUGUACUACUCCUUCUUUAGAUACUUCCCACGACACUCCUUCUUUUGCUUCUUAAUACCACGCGUGGCGUAGUAGUCUCGAAUGGCCUACGGCCGAGCCGCGUGGCGUAAGUUCUGUAAUAAACGCCUGCACUCGGCCUCGAUAACCUUGGCCGUCUCCUCCUCAUAUCCCUCCUCACACCUAUAGAAGGUAUGCAAUCAAACGAGACAACACCGAUUAGUACAAUAAUUAGCUAUAUUGUUAAUUUUAGAUUGUGUAAAAGGAUCAUUUACCCAAAAGCUGUUGAUCACCAUCUCGGCCCUCGUGUGGCACAAGACACCAUCUAUAAUCUCCUCCGACGGGGCCUGCACAACCUGUUAGUGCUCCCAGCUAAAUCCUAGUGUAGGAACCUGACACUCACGAGGCAACGUGACAAACCCCGAGAAAUUUGUCCGGCAAAGCACACCAAGGACGUUGUUCGGCUUGCGGACUUGAUACGUCUUCGUCGUAUCUACUUUUCCGAACUCUUUUGCCCUUGUUUUGGACUCUAAUUUGCAUGAUUUGAAUGGAACUAACCCGGAAUGACGAUGUUUUCAGCAGAAUUGCCAUGGUGUUGUUGUUGUGCAAAAAUAAAAGUUCUCGGAAUGUCCUGAAAAUUUACGGAAAUUUUUCUGGCAUAAAAGAAAAAUACCUGCGCAAAGAUCCACCGGAGGGGCGUGCCAGUGGGCCACAACCCCAAAGGCCGUGGGCACCCCCCUAGGUCGCGCCAUGCAGGCUUGUGGGGCCCACGUGGCACCACCGCCCCGAAACUCAGCUUUAUAUCUUCCGUCUUGCCCAAAAAAAAUAUCAGAGAGAAGGUUUCGUCCCGUUUUGCGAUACGGAGGCACCGCCACAUCCUGUUCUUCAUCUGGAGGGUAGAUCUGGAGUCCGUUUCGGGCUCCAAAGAGGGGAAAUCAUCGCCAUCGUCAUCAUCAACCUUUCUCCAUCGACAAUUCCAUGAUGCUCUUCAUCGUUCGUGAGUAAUCUCAUCGUAGGCUAGCUGGACGGUGAUGAGGUGGAUGAGAUCUAUCUUGUAAUCGAGUUAGUUCUUGACGGGGAUGGAUCCCUAGUAUCCACUAUGUUCUAGAUUGAUGUUGCUACUACUUGGCUAUGCUUAAUGCUUGUCACUAGGGCCAUGAUUUCAGAUCUGAACCUAUUAUGUUGUCGCCAAUAUAUGUGUGUUUUAGAUCCUAUCUUGCAAGUUAUAGUCACCUACUAUGUGUUAUGACCCGGCAACCCGGAGUGACAAUAACCGGAACCACUCCCGGAGAUGACCAUAGUAUGAGGAGUUCAUGUAUUCACCGCGUGUUAAUGCGUUGGUCCGAUUCUUUAUUAAAAGGAGAACCUUAAUAUCACGUAGUUUCCAUUAGGACCCUGCUGCCACGGGAGGGAUGGACAAUAGAUGUCAUGGAAGUUCUUUUCCCUAAGCACGUAUGACUACAUACGGAAUACAUGCCUACAUUAGAUUGACGAACGGGAGCUAGUUACUUAUCUCUCCGUGUUAUAGCCAUUACAUGAUGAAUCACAUCCGUCAUACUCAUCCUUCACCGAUCCGCUGCCUACGAGUCUUUUAAUACUGGUUCUUGCUACGUUACUUUGUCUAGGCUUGUCCCUUGCUACAAAAGGGAUUGGGCCACUUUGUUGCGACAGCUGUCACUUUACUGCUACUGUUGCUACUGUUGUUACUCUACUGCUAUUCCUUGCUACUCCGCUGUUACUUGUUGCAAGACUUUUCUGGCACCGUUGUCGGGGAUGAAUAUUUCCCGUCCACGGGCAACUUUUUGGCGCCAUCGAUACAACAGUUCGGAAUAGUCUGCCAUCAACAGAUCGUUUCUGGCACCGUUGUUAUCAUACUACUUUGCUUGCAGACACUAAUCUUUCAGGUGUGGUUGAAUCUGACACAUUCAACUGAUAAUACUUGAGAAUAUUCUUUCACUUCCCUUCUUGGCGAAUCAACAAAUUUGAGUUGAAUACUCUACCCUCGAAAACUGCUGCGAUCCCAUACGGUUGUGGGACAUCAGGACUCCACCAGGGUGUUUCCAUCCCCUGCAGUAUGAUAAGGCCAAUGCAUUAGUUAUUUGAAGGAACUUGAAGGCAGAAGCUAAAAAGAGUAAAUGUACUGACCUAUCCCCUUCAGACUUAGUCACCGGCCUCUGCUCGCGGGUAGCCGGCGUGACUGGGAGACGUGUACUACCACACUUGUACAUGGUGGCCCCGUCCACCUGCACGAUGCCCUCACUAUCCGUAGAUUCAUCCCCGCAGUCAACAGAACAGCCACCCGGACCCUCGGUCCAAUCCGGCACCUCGGUCCGAUCCGUCCAGGCACCCCAUCCGGACGUCUCCACCUCGGCCGAAGUGUGUGUGGCAGGAGUCUCCUCGGACGUAGCCUCAGGAACCGGAGUCUCAUGGGCCGAAGGCACCUUGCCCUGAGGCUGAUCCUGGACCGGAGUCUCAUGGGCCGAAUGCCCGUCCACCCGAGGCUCCUGGACCGGAGUCCCCGUAGCCUCCCCCGCAAACGGGUCCAACAUAGUAGUCUUGUUCUCGAGUGAAUGAGCUGGUGGUGGUUGCGAGGAAGGCACAACAGUCCGCCUACCUCUUUCGCGGCCACCACCUCUCCGUGUACCCUUCCCCUUCUUCCCUACCCGACCAGCACCUCUUCCAGUGGGCAAUGCUACCGACGAAGAAGCACCAACGGGUGGUGUCGUCAAACUGUUUGCCAAGGCUCUACGGAGAGAUAGGGGUGGAAUGGAAGUACCACCCCUCGUGCGGGCCGCCGAAGGAGAACCCGUCGAGUGAUCUGGACCCGCGCCCACCAUCUUUCAACACCUGCUGACCUGCCAUGAUAAAGAUUAAUAGAAAUUAGUACAACAUAAAAAAAUUGAAUAACUGACAUGAAUAAUAAUAUGUACAUAUAUAAUUUUAGUUGGGAAUCUUACAAACUAAUAAUCACCAUCAAUAAAUGCAUCAUCAGCAUCAGUAUCACGCAUGUCUUCAUGAAUGACGUGCUCAUCGGGUUCAACGGCAUGAAAUUGUCGAGGGCCUUUCUGUAACCGGUCAAGCAUUGACAGGUCAUCCACAUCAGUAACCUCUUCUAGUUCCAGCUCUGCUGGUUCCGGCUCGGGGGUGUAGUUGGAUUCAUUGUCGUUGUCUACUUCCAUGUUCUGGGGUGAAGCAUGGCGGUUCUUGAAACGUUUCUUAGAAAGACGUGUUUCUUGGAAGAAUUCUUCAUCAUACGUGUCUGGGUUAAUGUGAGGUUCAUAAUCCUGUUCAUUUAGGGGAGGUGGUCUAACAUGUCGCGGCACUUCAUAAACAACAUACCUACCUUACAGAUUCUUAUCAGUUUGGCAUGCCCACGGUAGAUAGAAAACUUGGGUCGCCUAUUGAGCCAUAAUAUAGACAUCGGGAACAUCUAAAUGGGUGUUUGGUUUGAUUUGGACUAGUCCUAUAUGUUCAUCAGUCGUUCUAGUCUCCUUCGGCUGGAACCAAUAACAUUUGAAGACUACGACGUUCGAUGGGUUUUCACCAGAGAAUUGAAGUUCAUAAAUUGCUUCAACUCUUCAUAAUACGCGAUACCACCUUCGCCGAUAGCAGAGACACCACAAUUUGUAGAUUUCCUGUCGGGAAUAGAAAACUCUUUGCCAAAGGUACGAAAGAGAUACCUGUUGAUGUUGUAUUUCUCAAAUGAAUGAACCUUAUAGUCAAAACCAUUAGUGGCUUGUCUCAAUUUGGCGUCCAUAGACUCUGAAUUAGCCUACAAGUUUAAUAUGAAACGAUUGUUGCAUUAGCCGAAAGUUAGACCAAGAAAUGAAAAGAUCCAUUAUGGAUAAUUACCGUUUGUUUGAACCAAGAGAUGAAACCGGGAUAGACGCCUUCAUGCUUUGCCAGAAGCUCAUACUCUUUGACGGAAUCAUUUUGGAUCACCGCUCCAUCUGAGAAUUUGGCGACAUAUCGGCUGUAUGAAAUAUCCGGGAAUAAGAGCAGUUCAAAGGAAUUAGAAGUUACGGAAAAAUGUGACGAUAACUUACUCGAUGUACAACCGCACUUCUGUUAGGUUGUUGAAGAUAUACAAUGAAAUGUUUCGCCAUUCUUCAACAUCCAACGUUAUUGGUUUCGAAGCACUGGCUGGUGUGAGCUUCCAUUUGAAAAGGCUGAGGUUGGAUCCACCUUUUUUAGGGUCUGCAUCAUUGUACAAAGGCUUCGGAUUAUGCAAAUGAUGAUUUUUGGCUUCGUAGUGUGCUGUCACAAAGUUUGCCACCUCCUCGGUAAUGAAUGCCUCACCAUCGAGGCUUCAAUUCUACGCUUAUUUUUACAUUUAGCUUGAAGUGUCUCUGCAUCCUCUCAGUUGCAUAGCACCAACGAUUUUGCACGGGCCCACCCAAUCUUACCUCGCUCGGUAGAUGUAAAAUCAAAUGUUGCAUUGGAUUAAAGAAGCCCGGCGGAAAGAUCUUCUCUAACUUGCAGAACGACUCUGGUGCAAACUCCUCCAUGUCAUCUACCACACCAGGCAACAAUUCUUUCGCACAAAGAACACGGAAGAAAUAGCUCAGCUCCGCUAGUACUAGCCAUUUAUCCUCAGGAAUAAAGCCACGGAACAUCACCGGCAUUACUCGCUCAAGCCAUAUGUGCCAAUCAUGACUCUUGAGACCAAAGAUUUUUAUUUUUUCAAGACUUGCUCCCCUCUUUAGAUUUGUUGCAUACCCAUCGGGGAACAUCUAGUGCACUUUAACCCACAAGAUAAUUUCCCUCAUAGUUGGCCUUCCAAGAUUGAACGAGGCCUUUGGCUUCAACCACUUCUGCUUUCCUUUGCCUUCUCGCAUGUUUUGUAACGGUCUGUGACAUAGUGUCUCUUGAUCGACUCUAGCCUUAGUAUUAUCCUUUGUCUUCCCAUCUAUGUCGAACAGUGUACAAAAAAUAGCCUCUCCGAUAUUCUUUUAAGUGUGCAUCAUGUCGAUAUUGUGUGGAAGAAGGAGGUCUUUGAAGUAAGGCAGAUCCCACAAGCAUGGCUUGUGAGUCCAGGCGUGUUUUGAAUUAUACGCCUUGAAGUACCAUGGACGCUCUUGAUCAGGCUGCAGAGCGUUUAACUGAUCCAGUAUCUGUUGACGUGUCAACACAGGUGGUGCCAAGUUUUUGACAACAUUACCUUUGGUAAAGUUCUUCUUGUCUUUUCUGAACUGAUGGUCAGGAUCCAGGAACUGUCUAUGCAAGUCAAAGCAAGAAUACUUCCGACCCUCCUGCAACUAAUGAAACUGAAGAGCUACCUUGCAUGUGGGGCACGGGAACCUUCCAUGCACACACCAUCUAGAGAAUAGUGCAUACGACGGCGAGUCAUGCAUAGAGUACAUGUACCACACAUGCAUUUUGAAGUUUUAUUUUCUAGCGGCAUUGUAUGUCUUGACCCCAUUAUCCCAAGCUUCUUGCAAUUCAUCCUUAAGAGGUUGCAUGUACACAUUCAUAUUCUUCCCCGGAUAAUUGGGCCCUGGAAUUAUCAACAUCAGAAAUAUGUUCUUUCUUUGCAUGAUCUGCCCGGGGGGGGGGGGGGNNNNNNNNNNNNNNNNNNNNNNNNNNNNNNNNNNNNNNNNNNNNNNNNNNNNNNNNNNNNNNNNNNNNNNNNNNNNNNNNNNNNNNNNNNNNNNNNNNNNNNNNNNNNNNNNNNNNNNNNNNNNNNNNNNNNNNNNNNNNNNNNNNNNNNNNNGGGGGGGGGGGGGGAGAUUGAGUGGAAUGACAAAUACAGGCUAACUACUAUAUUGGGUUGCCGUCAUGCCGAAGGGAUUAAAACCAUCCUUGGCGAUGCAGCCUCGAGGAUUCCUUAGAUCUGCCGCUUUUAUCCUGAUGCAAUCCAUCAAAAAUGUUUCCACGCUUGCCCAUCCGAUGUGUGUACCGCCAUCUUAUUCCCAUCCGCAUCUAGUUCGGUUCUUUUGCCCAUUUUGUGCCAUGUCAUCUGUCUGGCUGUCUCUUCGACCAUGAAAAGACGUUGAAGCCUUGGUAUGAUUGGCAUAUACCGAAGAACACUAACUGCGAUAUUUGUCUGCCUCUUCUCACCCAUACCGUUGUCUACCACAAGAUACCUGCAAGACUCGCAGUUGGGACAAUAGUCCAAGUGUGCAUACUCCUUCCUAAAUAAGACACAUCCUUUCUCACAUGCAUCUAUCUUCUCAUAGGGCAUCUUAAGUACACGAAGUAUUUUGUCCGACUGGUACAGGUUUGCAGGCAUGACAUGGCUUUUGGGUAGAAAGCGUCCAAGUAGUGUCAUCAUCACGUCGUAGCAUUCUCUUCCCAAGUUGAACUGAGCCUUCAGAGCCAUUACUUGUGCUAUGACAUCCAGCUGACAAAGCUCAGUGUGCUCGGGGAGAGGACGUUUUGAAGACUCCAACAUUUCAUAGAAGGCCUUUGCAGAUUCCUCCAUCUCAUCUUUUGAAUCCCGAGCAUCAUCAAAGUCUUACACCAUGUCUUCGAUCCCGGUACCAUGCUCGUCGGUGCGACGACGAACCACCUCAGCUCUGGUGCCUUGUAUAGACUCACCAUGAAAUGUCCAAACUGUAUAAUUAGGCUUAAAACCCCUCCUCCGCAUGUGUUUAAUCAUUACAGCAUCUGUCCUCUUUUUAUAGUUGUCACAUUCAGGACAAGGCCAUCAGUUUGUUUCCUGGACAUUUGUAAAUGCAGCUUCCACAAACUCCUUGGUUUUUAGAAACCAUUCUCUCGUCAUAUCUUUCUGACUAGGGUGACCGGUGGACAUCCACGCACGAUCACUCAGCUUGCCUAGUUAGUAAACACACAAGAAAUAUAUUUAUAUAUAAUUUAGCAUAUAUAUUCAUCAGUUAACGCCAGUUUUAUUACGUCCAUGCAACCCACACGCUAAUAGGUAAAGAUAGAUCCUAAUCCCACCCGAGUAUGUGUAGAUUUGGUUCAUUUUCCCAGGCUCUGCUCCGGAUCCAACGCAAAAUUUCGGCAACACCUCCCCGCUGUUCUCCUGAUACAUGUCUCCGCAAUAAACAGAGAUGAUGUGUAUCCAGAGAACAACAGGGAGGCACUAACGAACUUAUGUAUCGGAUCCGGAACAAAGCAUAUAGGAAAACGAACCCAAUCUACACAUACUCGGGCUGUCCAUGGAUAACGUUGGAGAAUUCGGAAGAAUCAUGAUUAUAAAUAUAUGCAAAUGCAUGCAUAUUUAUAACUGUAACCCUUUCGAACGGGAGACACAUAUUGGUCACACAUAUUGAUAAAUUAAUUUACCUAAAUCUAGCAAGUUUCAUCCGAACACCGACACAGAGCAAAUGAAGGGGCAGGAGGAGAUGACAAUUGUACUCAGCCAUGAAUGCAGGGGCGGAGCUCGUAGAAUGCACGGGGAGGUCCUCGCACAGCAGACCUCACAGAGAUGAGACAACUACACAUGUAAAUCCACCGGAUCAACACAAAUAUUUUGUGUUCACCAAUAAAAUUGAAAAAUAUAUGACCUAACACAAAUAUAUGACCUAUAUAUAAUUCAUUUAGGAUUCCAUCAACGUCGAGGAACCCCCUAACUCGCUCGUCUCCGGGGCCCUUUGGUAUGGUGACGCACGGUCGAAGGGUCAGCACGCCAACUCUUCUGGUUCCGGAGACCUCUCUUCUCUGCCUCUCCUCUCCUCUCCGAGCAUUCUCCUAGUGAGGUCCACGGUCGGCGGCCUCUGGAGGCCGAAGAUCACCUUUUUGGUCAACAAGAGGACGAACGUGUCGGGGGUCGGGGGUUGGGGGUCAGUGUCAUCGGGGGCGGCGUAUUAAUAUAUGCGCGGAGUUUCGUGUUGGGGUGUCGUGAUGUCUUGUCGGUGCGUCGUGUGGGGGUGUCGGGGCGUCGUGUCGGGGUGUCGGGCCAUCGUGUCGUGGUGUUAGGGUGUCAUUUUCUUCUUCUUCCUCUUCUUUUUUUCCUCUUCUUUUUUCCCUCUUCUUCCUUUUCUUCUUCUUCGUUUUCUUCUUCUUCCUCUUCUUCUUGUUCUUCUUGUUCUUCUUAUUCAUCAUCUUCUUCUUCUCUUCUUCUUCUUNNNNNNNNNNNNNNNNNNNNNNNNNNNNNNCUUCUUCUUCUUCUUCCUCCUCCUCUUCUUCUUCCUCCUUCUUUUCCUUUUUCCUCUUCUUCCUCUUCUUCUUCUUCUUCUUUCUUUCGUUUCUCUUUCCUCCUCUCCUCUUUCUUCUUCUUCUUCUUCUUCUCUUCUUCUUCUUCUNNNNNNNNNNNNNNNNNNNCUUCUUCUUCUUCUUUUUUCUUCUAGUUUUUUCUUCUCUUCUCUUAUUUUCUUCUAAGUUUUUAUUUUCAAUCUAUUUUUUUUCUUUUCUAUCUACUUUUUUCAACCAAAUAAACCAACUAUCUAAUUUAACAAAAAAACAGAAAAAACUAACUAUUUAAUUCGAAAGAAAAAACAAAAAAUAAAAUAACUAUCUAAUUUAACANNNNNNNNNNNNNNNNNNNNNNNNNNNNNNNNNNNNNNNNNNNNNNNNNNNNNNNNNNNNNNNNNNNNNNNNNNNNNNNNNNNNNNNNNNNNNNNNNNNNNNNNNNNNNNNNNNNNNNNNNNNNNNNNNNNNNNNNNNNNNNNNNNNNNNNNNNNNNNNNNNNNNNNACUAUCUAAUUUAACAGAAAAACAUUAAAUAAACUAACUAUCUAAAUUAACUAUUUAAAAGAGAAAAAAAUAGAAAAAAACAGGGAUGGGGGAACUCACCGGAGUUGGGGACAUUCGGGGAGACCGAAGGAGGGGGAAGCCGCGGGGAGGGGAGCCGCGAGGAGGGGGCGGAGCCAAGNAAAGAGCUGGCUGAUGCCAAAGAUAUUAUUUGCCAUCAGCCAGCUCUUUGCCAUCUGGUUUUUGGUAGCUGAUUUCAAAGACUCUCUUUGCCAUGAGCCAGCAGACGGCAAAGAAGCAGCAGAUGGCAAAAUCUCUGAUUCCAGUAGUGAGGGAAAGGGGGAAUAUUCCAAGUGGGAGGAGGCCUUCUUGGAGUAGGAUUGAAGGUGGACUCCUCCACCUCCUAUUUGGCCGAACCAAAGAGGAGCCUUUGGCUGCCUCCUCCCCUACCUCCCUCCUAUAUAUACUAGAGGAUUUUGAGGGCAGACCUAACCCUUAUAAGCCAUGGUUGUCCUCUCUCUCUAGAUCGUUUUCUCCUCUAUAUUAGUUCCGCGGAGCUUGGCGAAGCCCUGCUCGAUUAGUUCACCACCACCACCAUGCCGACAUGCUGGAGAACUCAUCUACCUCUUCUCCCCUAUUGCUGGAUCAAGAAGGCAGAGAUCUUCAACGAGCUGUACGUGUGCUGAACGCGGAGGUGUCGUCCGUUCGGAACUAGAUCGGGAAAGAUCGUGAUGGGAUCGCGGGACGGAUCGUGAUGCUAUCACGGGACGGAUCGUCAUGAGAUCGCGGGACGGGCUGAGAUUUGGAUCGUGAAGAUUUUCCACUACAUCAACCACGUUAUAUACGCUUCCGCUUAUCGAUCUACAAGGGUAUAUAGAUGCACUCUCCCCUCUCGUAGAUGAUCAUCACCAUGGAUAGGUAUUGCAUGAGCAUAGGAAUUUUUUUGUUUCCCAUGCGACGUUCCCCAACAGUGGCAUCAUGAGCUAGGUUCAUGCGUAGAUGAUAUCUCGAGUAGAACACAAAAGAGUUUGUGGGCUUUGAUGUUCCAAUGGUGCCCUCCUUAGUCUUUUCUUGAUUCGGUGAUAUUGUUGGAUUGAAGCAGCCCGGACCAACAUUACUCGUACGCUUACGAGAGACCAGUUUCAUCGACUAAGAUGUAACUUGUUGAAUAAGGGCGCGGUCCUUGGCGAAGGUUAAAUAGCAACUUGCAUAUCACUGUUGUUGUUUUGCGUAAGUAAGAUGCGAUCAUACUAGACACCCAUAGCAGCCACGUAAAACGUGCAACAACAAAUUAGAGGAUGUCUAACUUGCUUUUGCAGGGUAUGCAUGUGAUGUGAUAUGGCCAAAGACAUGAUAUGAUAUAUUGGAUGUCUGAGAUGAUCAUGUUGUAAUAGUUAAAUAUCGAACCGCGUGUCGAUGCUACGGCAACUACCAGGAGCCAUAGGGUUGUAUUUAAUUAUUUUACGCUUGGUGAUGCUUUGCUUUAUCGCUAGUAGUAGCUUUAGUAGUAACAACAUAGUUAGCGUGACAACCUCGAUGGAAGUACGAUGAUGGAGAUCAUGAUGAUGGAGAUCGUGGUGUGGUGCCGGUGACGAUGGAGAUCAUGCUGGCGCUUUGGUGAUGGAGAUCAAGAAGCACAAGUUCAUGGCCAUAUUGUGUCACUUAUGAUUUGCAUGUGAUGUUAAUCUUUUAUGCACCUUAUUUUUCUUAGGACGACAAUAGCAUUAUAAGGUGAUCCCUCACUAAAAUUUCAAGAUAAAAUUGUGUUCUUCCCGACUGUGCACCGUUGCCACAAUUCGUCGUUUCGGACACCACGUGAUGAUCGGGUGUGAUAAACUUUAUGUUCACACACAACGGGUGCAAAACAUUUGGACACGCGGAACACUCGGGUUAAACUUGACGAGCCUAGCAUGUACAAACAUGGCCUCAAAACACAAGAGACCAAAAGGUCGAUCAUGAGUCAUAUAGUGGAUAUGAUCAACAUGGAGAUGUUCACCGUUGAAGAUAAACUCAACUCACGUGAUGAUCAGACUUGAGUUAGUGAAUUUGGAUAAUUGGAUACUCAGAUGACUAGAGGGAUGUCAAUUUGAGUGGGAGUUCUUAAGUAAUAUGAUUAAUUGAACUCAUUAUCAUGAACAUAGUCAAAAGGUCUUUGAAAAUUAGGUUAUAGCUUGCAUUGUAGCUCUACUAUUUUUGAUAUGUUCCUAGAGAAAAUUUAGUUGAAAGAUGAUAGUAGCAAUUAUGCAGACUAGCUCCGUAAACUGAGGAUUGUCCUCAUUACUACACACAAGGCUUAUGUCCUUAAUUCACCACUCGGUGUGCUAAACUCCAAGCGUCCUCUAGAGAUGUUGCGAACAUCUGACAUACACAGUUUUCAUGACUACAUGAUAGUUCAGUGCAUAAUGCUUAAACGGCUUAGAAUUGAUGCGCCGAAGAUGUUUCGAAUGUGACGGGACAUAUGAGAUGUUCCAAGAGAUGAAAUUGGGAUUUCAGGCUCGUGCCCAUGUUGAGAGGUAUAAGACCUCCGACAAGAUUCUUUGUCUACAAAGUAAGAGAGAAAAGCUCACUCGUUGAGCAUGUGCUCAGAUUGUCUGAGUACAAAAAUCACUUGAAUCGAGUGGGACUUGAUCUUCCAGGUAAGAUAGUGAUUGACAUAGCUCUCCAAAGUUACUGCCACCAAGCUACAUAGCUUCGUGAUGAACUAUAACAUAUCAAGGAUAGAGAUGAUAAUCCUUGAGCUAUUCGCGAUGUUUGUCACCGCAAAGGUAGAAAUCAAGUAAGAGCAUCAAGUGUUGAUGGUUAGUAAAAUGACUAGUUUCGAGAAGGGAAAGGGUUAAAAGGGACACUUCAUGAAAUGGCAAACCAGUUGCCACUCUAGUAAAAAAAACCAAGGUUGAACCCAACCCCAAGACUAAUUGCUUCUAUUAUGAGGGGAACGGUCACUGAAGCCGAACUAACCCUAGUUAGUUGGUAGAUAAGAAGGCUGGCAAAAUCGGCGAAAGUAUAUUGGAUAUACGUGAUAUUGAUGGGUAGCUUGCUAGAACUCCUAGUAGCACUGGGGUAUUAGAUAUUGGUUCAAUUGCGAAGUGUUAGUAAAUCGAAAUUAUAGCUACGGAAUAACCAGAUACUAGCAAUGGUGAGGUGGCGAUGUGUGUUGGAAGGAAUUCCAAGGUUGAUGUGAUCAAACAUCGCACGCUCUCUCUAACAUAGGGAUUAGUGGUGAACCUAAAUAAUUGUUAUGUUGUGUUUGCGUUGAGCAUAGACAUGAUUAGAUUGUGUUUAUUGCAAUACGGUUAUUCAUCUAAAGAGAAUAAUGGUUACUUUGUUUACUUGAAUAAUACCUUCAAUGGUCUUGCAGCUAGAAUGAAUGGUUUAUUGAAUCUCGAUCGUAGUGAUCCACAUGUUCAUAAUAUUGAUGCCAAAAGAUACAAAGUAGUAAUGAUAGUACCACUUACUUGUGCCACUGCCGCUUGAGUCAUAUUGGUGGAAAAAGCAUGAAGAAGCUCCAUACUAAUGGAUCUUUGGACUCACACAUUUUUGAAUCAUUUUAGACAUGCAAACCAUGCCUAUUGGUGUAAACACAUGAAGAAACUCCAUACAGAUGGAUUGUUUAGACUCACUUGAUUUUGAAUCACUUGAGACAUGCAAAUCAUGCCACGUGGGAAAGAUGACUUAAGGCCUUGUUUUCAGUGAGAUGGAACGAGUAAGUGACUUGUUGGAAAUAAUAAAUUUUGAUGUAUGCAGUCCAAUGAGUGCUGAGGCACGCAUUGGAUAUCGUUAUGUUCUUACUUCACUGAUAAUUUGAGUAGAUACACGGGUAUUUGCUUGAUGAAUCACAAGUCUGGAAUAUUGAAAAGUUCAAGUAAUUUCAGAGUGAAGUUGAAGAUCGUCGUGACAAGAGGAUAAUAUGUCUAUGAUGUGAUCAUGGAGGUAAAUAUAUAUCUGAGUUGCGAGUUUGGUAAACAUUCAAGACACAAUGAAAAUUGUUUCACAGCUCAUGCCACGUGGAACACCAUAGUAUGAUGGCGUGUCCGAACGGCAUACUCGCGCCCUAUUGGAUAUGGUGCAUACUAUGAUGUCUCUUAUCGAAUUACCACAUUCACUUUAAAUAGGGCACCACGUAAUUCCGUUGAGAUGCACCGUAUGAACUAUGGUUUUGAGAAACCUAAGCUGUCGUUUCUUAAAAGUUUGGGGCUGCGACACGUAUGUGAAAAAGUUUCACCCUAAUAAGCUCGAACCCAAAGCGGAUAUAUGCAUCUUCAUAGGACACCCAAAACAGUUGGGUAUACCUCCUAUCUCAGAUCCAGAAGCAAAGUGUUUGUUUCUAGAAACGGGUCCUUUCUCGAGGAAAAGUUUCUCUCGAAAGAAUUGAGUGGGAGGAUAGUGGAACUUGAUGAGGUUAUUGAACCAUCACUUCAACUAGAGAGUAGAAGGGCGCAGGAAAUUGUUCUUGUGGCGCCAACACCAGUUGAAGUGGAAGAUGAUGAUGGUGAUCAUGUAGCUUCGGAUCAAGUUACUUCAAAACCUCAUAGGUCGAAAAGGAAACACUCUACUCCAUAGUGGUACAGUAAUCAUGUCUUGGAGGUCAUGUUGCUGCACAAAAGUGAACCUACGAGCUAUGAAGAAGCCAUGGUGGGCCCGAAUUCCUACAAAUGGCUGGAGGCCAUGAAAUCUGAGAGAGGAUCCAUGUAUGAAAACAAAGUGUGGACUUUGGAAGAACUACUUGAUGGUCGUAAGACUAUUGACUAAAGAUGGAACUUGAAAAGGAAGACAGGCGAUGAUGGUGAAAUUCACCAUUUAGAAAGCUCGACUUGUUGAAAAGAUGUUUCCGACAAGUUUAAAGUGUUGACUAUGAUGAGACUUUCUCACUCGUAGCAAUGUUUAAAAUCUUUGGAAUUAUGUUAGCAGUUGUUGCAUUAUUUAUGAAAUCUUGUAGAUAGGAUUUGAAAACAUUGUUUCCUCGAUGGUUUCCUUAAGGAAAGGUUGUAUGUGAUACAACCAAAAGGUUUUGUCGAUCCUAAGGAUGCUAACAAGUAUGCAAGCUCUAGCGAUCCUUCUAUGGACUAGAUCAAGCAUCUCGGAGUUGGAAUAUACGCUUUGAUGAGAUGAUCAAAGCUUUUGGAUUUAUACAAGGUUUGUGAGAAACUUGUAUUUCCAAGAAAGUGAGUGGGAGCACUAUAGAAUUUCUGAUAAGUAUAUGUGGUUGACAUAUUGUUGAUCGAAAAUGAUGUAGAAUUUCUAGAAAUCAUAGAGGGUUGUUUGAAAGGAGUUUUUCAAAGGAAAACCAGGAUUGAGCUACUUGAACAUCGAGCAUCAAGAUCUAUAGAGAUAGAUCAAAACGCUUAGUAGAACUUUGAAAUGAAUACAUACCAUGACAAGAUUUUGAAAGAGUUCAAAAUAGAUCAUGCAUAGAAGGAGUUCUUGGCUGUAUUGUAAGGUGUGAAUUUGAGUAAGACUCAAAACCCGACCACGACAGAAGAAAGAGGAAGGACAAAGUUCAUCCCCUAUGCCUUAGUCAUAGGCUCUAAAGUAUGCAAUGUUGUGUACCGCACCUGACGAGUGCCUUGCCAUGAGUUUGUCAAUGGGUACAAGACUGAACCAGGAAUGGAUCACUGGGCAGCGGUCAAAGUUAUCCUUAGUAACUAGUGGACUGAGGAAUUUUCUCGAUUAUGGAGGUGAUGAAAGAGUUCGUCGUAAAGGGUUACGUCGAUGCAAGCUUUGACACUAAUCCGGAUGACUCUGAGUAGUAAACUGGAUUCGUAUUGUGGACGAGUCAUUUGGAAUAGUUCCAAAUGGCACAUGGUAGUAGCAUCUACAUGAUAACAUAGAUAUUUGUAAAGCACACAUGGAUCUGAAAGGUUCAGACUCGUUUACAAAAAACCUCUCUCACAAGCAAGACAUGAUCAAACCCCAGAACUGUAUGGGUGUUAGAUUCAUUAAAAUCACAUAGUGAUGUGAACUAGUUUAUUGACUCUAGUACAAGUGGGAGACUCCUGGAAAUAUUCCCUAGAGGCCAUAAUAAAUUGGUUAUUAUUAUAUUUCCUUGUUCAUUAUAAUCGUUUAUUAUCCAUGCUAGAAUUGUAUUGAUUGGAAACUCAAAUACAUGUGUGGAUACAUAGACAAGACACUAUCCCUGGUGAGCCUAUAGUUGACUAGCUCAUUGAUCAAAGAUGUUCAAGGUUUCCUCUCCAUAGACAAGUGUUGUCACUUGAUAACGGGAUCACAUCAUUAGGAGAAUGAAGUGAUAGACAAGACUCAAACUAUGAACGUAGCAUAUGAUCGUGUCAGGUUAUUGCUACUGUUUUCUGCAUGUCAAUGUAUCUGUUCCGAUGACCAUGAAAUCAUGCAACUCCUGGACACCGGAGGAAUACCCCAUGUGUAUCAAAUGUCGCAACAUAACUCGGUGACUAUAAAGGUGCUCUAUGGGUAUCUCCGAAAGUGUCUUCUAGGUUGGUGUGGAUCAAGACUAGGAUUUGUAACUCCAUUUGACGGAGAGGUAUCUCGGGGCCCAGUCGGUAAUGAAACAUCACAACAAGCCUUGCAACCAAUGUGACUAAAGAUUUAGUCACGGGAUCUUGUAUUACGGAACGAGUACAGAGACUUGCCGGUAACGAGAUUGAACUAGGUAUAGAGAUACCGACGAUCAAAUCUCGGGCAAGUAACAUACAGAGGCACAAAGGGAACGACAUACGGGAUUAAAUGAAUCCUUGACAUAGAUGUUCAACUGAUAGAGAUCUUCAUAGAAUAUGUAGGAGCCAAUAUGAGCAUCCAGGUCCUGCCAUUGAUAAUUGACUGGAGAGUGUCUCAGGUCAUGUCUACAUAGUUCUCGAAUCAGCAUGGACUGCACACUUAAGGUUCAUCGACGUAUGAGUAUUAUUGAGUUAUGUGUGUUUGGUAAGCGAAAGUUGUUCGGAUUCCCCGAUGAGAUCCUGGACGUCAUGACGAGAUCCACAAUGGUCCGGAGGUAAAGAUUGAUAUAUACGAAAGUUGCAUUUGGCUUCCGGAAAGUUUUCGGGCAUUACCGUUAAAGUACCGGGAGUGACGAAUGGGUUUCGGGAUUUUACCAGGAGGGGCCACCCACCCGGGAUAGAACCUAAUAGGCCUAAAGGUGGUACACCAGCCCUUUGUGGGCUAGUGCGGCGACCCCAAGAUGGCCUAUUUCGGCCAAGAAGCAAAGAGGGAAAAUCCCAAAGGGAAAGGGGGAAUAUUCCAAGUGGGAGCAGUCCUACUUGGAGUAGGAUUGGACGUGGACUCCUCCACUUCCUAUUCGACUGAACCAAAGGAAGAGAUUAUGGCCGCCUCCUCCCCUCCCUCCCUCAUAUAUAUACUAGAGGAUUUCGAGGGCAGCCCUAACCCUAAUAAGCCACGGCUGCCCUCUCUCUCUAGAUCGUUUUCUCCUCAAGAUUAUUUCCGCAGAGCUUGGCGAAGCCCUGCUGGAUUAGUUCACCACCACCACCACCACACCGCCGUGCUGGAGAACUCAUCUAACUCUCCUCCCGUCUUCUUGGAACAAGAAGGCGGAGAUCGUCAUCGACCUAUACCUGUGCUGAACGCAGAGGUGUCGUCCGUUCGGCACUAGAUUGGGAAGGAUCGUGAUGGGAUCGCGGGACGAAUCAUGAUGAGAUCGCGGGACGUGCUACGAUUUGGAUCGCGAAGAUGUUCCACUACAUCAAACGCGUUAUAUACGCUUCCGCUUAGCAAUCUACAAGGGUACAUAGAUGCACUCUCCCCUCUCGUAGAUGUUCAUCACCAUGGAUAGGUCUUGCGUGUGCAUAGGAAUUUUUUUGUUUCCUAUGCGACGUUUCCCAAUAGUAGGGUGUGCAUCUAACAUGCCUGGUCUUGAAGACCUCAGGCAUUUGAGGAAGCCCAUCAUCGGAAUAUACAACCAAUGUCUAUAAGGUAAUAUUCCCACCAGUAUAUUAAAGUGAAAAAACAUAAAUACUCUCUAUGUGAACAAUGUGGUGCUACUUCAAGGAAAAAUGUAACAAAGGUGUAACAGCGUGAGACUGACGCUUCAGAUGCCUUCGAGUUAUUUGAAUAUUCAUUAUGUGUUUUAUUUAGUUUUUGCAUUCAUGAUCGCAUCAUUCGCAUUGCAUCAGCACUCCGUUGUCGUCAUAUUUGAAGAACUUGCAUCCGUUCAUAUUUGCCGGACCUCACCAUUCUCGUCAUCGAUCGUUCUAAGACCAAUGACACUCGCGCACGCGCCCAUGCUUUGUUAAAAUAUUGUACUAUAAGUAGGAAUAAAACAUUUUCAAAAUGGGUUGAAAGUUGGAGUGCGGUCUUAAUAUUUUGUAGGUAGACCGCAUGCCAAAUUUCGUCGCAUUCGGAGGUCGUGUGAUACCCGAACCGUUAAACUAUAGCGACAUUAUAGCCCGUGAAAUUCUCAUACGUUUUUUGGUGUUUCGAAUUGCCGCUAGGCUGCAUGUCUGCCCUCUCAUCGCAGUCCAAUGCCAUCUACACAACCCAUGUAGCCCAGCCUAAUUCCCCCUCCGUUCUGGACCGCCCGAUGGAGAUCAAACGGUACGAAAAUGAACAAACAUACCAAAACCUAUCCUCCCAUGCGUGUUUAAGCAACCCCUACCCUGUCAGAUGUGGAAACCCUAGUCUCUCCAUAGGAUCCAUGCCCCUCAACUCCAUAGUCACCACCUCUCCACCUCCUCUCGCCUCCAACCAUGUUGGGCCACCCAGUCCCAUCGCACGCCUGUUCAGUCCCGAACCACGCCCUGCCUCUCGUGCGCAGCCCCGCAGCAGAGCACCCGCUCCUCCCCGUUGCCCGAGCUCCCAUCCACUCCACGCCUCCUCCUUGCCAUGGACUCUGGCCGUAGUCACCCCUCGACAGAUCCUAGCUUCAGAUAGGCUAGACCCUGAUACGUCUCAAACGUAUCUAUAAUUUUAGAUGGUUUCAUGUUGUUAUCUUGUCAACUUUGGAUGUUUUAUAUACCUUUUAUAUCUUUUUUGGGACUAACUUAUUAAUUCAGUGCCAAGUGCCAGUUCAUGUUUUUUCUGUGUUUUUGACUCUUUUCAGAUCUGAUUUUGGAACGGAGUCCAAACGGAAUAAAAUCCCUGAAACGAUUUUUUCCAGAACGGAAGAAGAUCGGGGGACUUGAGGGCCAAGGCAGGUGGCCCACAGGGAGCCCACAAGCCCUGACGCCGUGGCCAGGGGGGCCCGCGGAGACCACGCUUGUGGCCUCCCUGGCGCUCCCCUGCCCUAGCUCUUUGGCCUAUAUAUUCCCUAAAAUCCCAGAAAAAAUAAGGGCGUCCACGAAACCACUUUUCCGCCGCCACAAGAUUCCGUUUCCGUGAGAUCUCAUUUGGAGACCCUUCCCGGUGCCCUGCCGGAGGGGACUUUGGAGCUGGAGGGCUUCUACAUCAACAUCAU